CUUGACUGAAUGAAACCAUCUGCCCAGAUACGUGGUCCCCCUGAGAAACCUUCACAUGGCCCCAGCAUGAGCAUGGCCAACCAUGGAAUGAAGUCCUCGAAUCCAAAAACUCCUGGAGUCCAAACAUCUAGAAACAAGGAAUCUGAUAGACAUCUGUUUAGCUCAUCAAAAAAUAUAUGGCCUAAACCACCCUUUUCUACCAUUGCCAUGAUGAUGUGGCAUCCAAGGCCUGUGGGAACGACAACCCAUUAUAGGCAUCUUGAGACAAAUGGAUCUGAUCUGUUGAGUUUGAACUACAAUAGAAAUGGGUUUGAUGGAGUCCUGCGAAAGGACAUUAUGCAGUGGUUGCUGCAAAAGUGAAGGUAGAAGCUUUUCAGACACCUGUUAGUUUCUGAAGUUUUAAUUGCCAAUAAUUCAGUUAAAAUAUCUCACUCAAACCGCUCGCAUUAUUGGACUCCUAAAUUUGAAAUUCAUCCAUGCGGGUUAUGGUCCUGUUGCUUGAUCAUCAAGCCUUGAUCACUAAUUACUGAAGGGCUGCGUGCUGCGAAAGCUGGCAAAGCUAGGUUUUAGUUGUUUUGCUUCUUUUCUGAAAGAUAGUAAUUGUUCUCUCCGUUUUCAGUGACUCUAGGUUUUGUGUUUCCGAACCAGUAACUGCAUAGUUGCAUCUGGUAAUGUUUGUUUGUUUCUUUGUUUGUGAAGCACAUUCCUCCAGAUUGGAAACGGCUGUGGUGAUGGCGAUCAUCUUUCUCUGUACUUGGCUUUUGGAGAUUCCACAGUCAAGGUGAUUAAAGUAUAUAUAUAUGCAGAGCAUCCAUUGCGAAUCAUAGAUCAAGUGGGGGCAAAACAUAAAUCUUUUCGAGGUAAAAUAUCUGUGUUUACAUGCAAUUAGUAUUUGGGGCAAAUCCAAUGACUAUAACGAGAAUGUUCCUUUUACUCUAGUAGAGAAUAAAGACUAGUUCAAUACACCAAGCGAUAACUGGGGCUGGCCAAGAUUCGUUUCAUUGAGUGAGUUAGAUGAGCCAGAGACUGGAUUUCUAGUGAAUGGCGUUUGCGUGGUGGAAGCUGAGGUCACUGUGCUUGGAAUUUCCAAGCCAUUAUAACAAGUAAUUAAUUGUCCUCCAAAUGGGUUCUUUUAUUGUGUGAUGCCGACUGCCUGGCUAAUCUAGGAAAUUUAUUUUAGCUAUCAGGAAAUUUAUUUCUCUUGUGGUUUUCCAAAAUAACUCUUACGUUGCUUAUUGUUUAUUUUCCAAAAUAACUCUUACGUUGCUUAUUGUUUAUGCUGUCAAGCUAACUUUUUAGUGUUAUUUUGGUGUUCUAUUUCUCUGCAUCUCUUUAAGGAGAAAUUCAUUAUAUCCCCUAUGCUGUAAUUCUUCUCUUCUAAGAUUUUGAUUUAAAAGAAAAAGAAAAAUGAAAAAAAAAAUAGUGAAACGAAGAAAAUUAGGAUGCAAGAGAACUAAUAACUUCAAUUACUAAGAAAAUGAAAACCAAGUAGAAUUGAACCUCGUUGAAUUAAUAUUGAUAAAUUGAUAACUCCUAUUAAAUAAUAGUUUUCUUCAGUUUGACUUAGAGUCAAUAUGGUAAAUUAAUAAUUUGAUAAAUUUUAUUAGAUAAUAUAUUUUUUAAAAAAAUAUUUUUCUAUAAGACCCAAUUAAUAUAGGUAUUAAUAAUUAAUUAAUUUAAAAUUAAAUACAUAUGAUAUGUCUAUGAUUUUUUUGUUGUAUUGGCAUAAUGCUUUAUGUAUUUUAUUGAUCAAUAUUACUUUUUUUACACUUUUCAAUUGAGAAGUUAGUGUUGUAUCAUAUGUGUUGUGGUAAGAUAAAUAAGAGAGAGAGAGAGAGAGAGAUUUAAUCUAUUGCCUCAAAAAAAUCUCAGUUGAUGAGUUACCAUGUAAUUGUGAUCCAACUAUACGAUCUGACCAAAGAAUUAUCAAAUGAUUGAUUCACUCAAUCAAGAUCGAAUUAAAAUCCUAUCAUACAACAUGAUAAAAUCACUAAAUUUUCUAAUUAUACUAGCUCAGAAUCACUAAAUUCUUUAAUUAUACUACCACUAUAUUUCAUAAAAAAAAAUCCGAUUAUCAACGUGAUAUUAUUUCUAUAAAGAUAAAUUAAUAUUUAUUCAUUUAAUGGAUAUAAAAAAAUACCGACCAUUUUGUUCUUGGAGCAAUGGCGUUUCCUGUGUAUAAUAGGAGCUUUAGUUUUUUAUUUAAAAGAAAUAAUGAAGAAAAAACAUGUCGUUAUCAGUACCACCAACUCAAUUUGCAAUUAAAAAAGGAGAAGAAAUUAAUCGACAGAAACUCACUUCCUGCUCUUGGUUCAUUUCAUGUUUGCAAGCUUAUGCUUCUACCAGGUGAAUCCAACAUGGAAUUGGAAAAAAUAAUGAAGUUAGAAAUGACAAUAACAUAAAAAGCUUUGGAUUCCCUCCGCCAAACUAUUACUUGAAAAGAAAAUGAGGGAAAAGCCUAGGAUCUCCGGCGAGAAUCUUAACUCUCAAGAUGAGACCAGAUAAUAAUGUAAUACUAGAGAGAUAACGUGAAAGGGUAACUUUCCGUAGCCAUAGAAGCAAAUUAUGUAAACCAAAAUUAUCCCAGCAAGCCAAUAUGAAUUCUUUCCACCUCAACCUGUUCAAAAACAGAGCAAGAUAAAGCUUAAAUGUCAAAAGAAGUGAAUCUUUUCAAUAAUGUGAAAGUAAAUAAAACAAUAGGGUAAACAAUUAUGAUUUUUCCUAAUGCUUGCGUAAACAAUCAUGACCGAGGAAAACUUUCCAGAAAUAAGAACAGUGAAGACAUGAUUCACAGGCAUUAAACCCAAUAAAAUCCCUCACCAAUAUUUACCUCAUUAAAUUUUAAUGCCACCUACAAAUGGGAUGAUAGAACAAGUUGUCAUUCACAUAUUGCUUAUUCAUCAAUCUCUUCACCUUUGGUUAAAGUCGGGAGGUAACAUUCAAUUUGUGCAGGAACCAACAAACAAAAGAUGCAUUUUUUCGUAGUAUGAAGACAAUUGAACCAACGAGCGUGAAGCACCCCCCCCCCCCCCCCCCCCCCCCCCAAAAACAAAAAAAGAAAAAGGAAAAAAAGAAAAUUGAUGACCCACCUCAUAUGAUUUUAGUAUGCUUGGUAGUAUCAUUUUUUAUAAAUUUCUGAGACUUUGUUUUCGGGUUAUGGUUAUAAGUUUUCGGGUCCCACGUCACAUGAUUUUCGGCCAAGCAGAAUUUAGUUUCCCUCCCUUUUGUCAGUCAAUCUGUUUCAGAAAUUUUGAUGGUGAUCAAAUCAAAAUUUCUGCUUCUAUUCAUGUAUCAGUGCAAUAAGUGAGCUACUGAUAAUCGUGGCUCUGAUUUGGACUUCAGUACCUUUGACAUUAUAUGCGAGGGAGGAAGGUUAUGUUCUUUUGGGGUAUUACUGCUCCAUUAACACUUUGCCCAUGUUUGAGUAUCAUAUUGGCAUAUUUACGUUGAUUAAUUAAUUAACAUAAAUAUAUCAUCUAAGCUGCUAUGCACAACGCUAUGGUUGGAUCUAAUUAGGAUUCAAUAAUAUCGUAUUUUUCAAUAUUAACUUGGGGAUAUCCUUUCGAUCUAGACUUACUUCAGCUUUGAGCUUUGAAGUACAUUUUAAUACUUGCACAUUAUUAUACAUGCGAUUAAUAGCUAUUUAUUUGUUACGUUUACUUUAAUUAUUAACAAUCAAGAAAUUUCUUCCCACAAAAUAAUCUGUGAAAUGAACAAUCGCUACAUGAGCUUAGAAUUUUCUAAGCGAUAAAACGCAGUACCUCCUCCCAGUAAUUUUAUUUUUCUUUUAUUUAAAACGACUUCGUGCUGUCCAAGUUACCAAAAAUAAAAAUAAAAAUUCAACAACUUUUUGGAGAACUUUUCGGAAUGGAAAAUAUCUUUAUUUAACAAAGAUGGUAUGUAUGUUCAACCUUUUCUCACGUUCUCUAGAGGACAAUAUUCUUAAAAUUUUCAGCUUAUUGUUAUUUCUAAUCAAUCGGUGUUAAUUAAAAAUUACUUAAAUGUAUAGCCAUUGCAAGAUACACUUCACUACCACCGGCUCAUUACAUUGUCAAAAUAAAAUCAUUUUCAUUACUUGCGGAAAAAGCAGAAGAGGAAUAUGAAUCAGGAGAAUUUGAAGUUGGAGGAUACAAGUGGUACAUAUAUAUAUAUAUAUAUUCUUAUCCUUAAUAACACAAGUUCAUUUACUUUGGAUUGGGAAGUCUCAGCAGUUUUUCGUCUGUUCUUACUUGAUCAGAACCAAGAAAACUACUGUGUAGUUCAAGGUUAAAUCAAAUUUAGUGUGCAGAAUUGUAUAUUGCAACAUUAGGAAAAAAAUUUGAAUGCAUGCAUAAUGAGUGGUUGCUUGUAAUGUGAUAGAUAUCAUGGGAAAGGAAAGACGGUUUAAUGGACUGAAGCAUGUAUGGGGUUUUGAUAAAUUUAUCCCGCUUAGAGCUUUCAAUGAUGCUUCGAAUGGAUACCUUGUCGAAGAUACGUGUGUUUUUGAAGCUGAAGUCCUUGUUAAAGAAAGAAACAAAUUCAAAAGAGAGUGCCGAUCUAUAAAAGAAAUUUCAAUUAGUUGUAAGUGUGUUUGGAAGAUCGAGAACUUAGACGCAGGAUAUGAGGAAUCACAAGUUUUCGAUGCUGGAAAUCACAAAUGGUAUCAAAGAUUUUAAUUUUUUUUUAAUUUCUACAGGUAUAAUAAAUAAUGAGUUCUUGGGACAAAGUUGUCAGUGAGUGUAUGUUGGAGACUUAACACAUAUAACACUAAAAAAACACACUAUUUUAUUUCUUCAAUAACACUCCUCACCAACUACAACUCUUAUUUUUCACUCUCUACAACUUAGAGAUUUUGUUACUUCACUUGAUACUUAAACCAAAGGGGAGAGGGGGUAUUUAUACAUAAAACAAACUAAUCACAACCAUUCAUUUAUUCAACUAAUAAACAAAUCUUCACCAUCCAGUAAAACCUAUCACUCACCUACUUCACUAACCACACCUACCACACCUAACACAAAUAAUUUAAACCUCACCAACUUUCCAUGAGUUGGGCUUGAAUUAAUUCAUCUUGGAUCAAGUUUAUGAUCCAACAGUGUACAAUUAAUAAAAUACCGUUUCGGUGUUUUUAGGAAGACACAGCUACACCCAUGGGAACUGGGCCCAAUGCUGGCGAUUGUCUUUCCUUGUUCUUGGUUUUUGGAGAUUCCACAGUUCGGAGUACUGUUAAAGUAUACGCAGAGUUUACAUUUCGAAUCUUAGAUCAAGUUCGGGCAAUGCAUGAAUCUUCUUAAGGCACAUUGCUUGUUUUAAUACGCAACUAAUUUAGUUGCCACUAGCAGCUUGACCGAGUGAUUUUCAAGCAGGUUUCUUUAACUUUUGAUUUUGAAAGUACCUUUAACCCAAAAUAAUAAUAAUAAGCUUAAUUUGAGGCUAUAGAAUUCAAAUAAUGUGUAUAAUGAGAAUGAUUCUUUUUCUCUAGGAGGUAGAGAAAGGUUCCAUGCACUAGGCGAUAAUAAGUGGGGUUGGUCGAGAUUCGUUUCAUUGAGUAAGUUAAAUGACCCAGAGAAUGGGUACCUUGUGAACGACGUUUGCGUUGUGGAAGCUGAGAUCACUGUGCUCAGAAUCUCCGAGGCAUUGUAAUAAUAAGUAUUCUUCUUUGUUUCUCACAAAAUAAAGAAAUUCAUUGAUUUUUUGCUUACUUAUGCGAUCACGUUUGUUCAUUGACAUAAUUCUUAAUCCUGGAAGGAAAUCUCUGACAAUCUUAAUCCUGAAAAAAAAUCACAUCUAUCAAAUAUUACCAAGUGAGAUGGUGACAAAAACUCUUAGUUUUUAAUUAAAGAGAAGUAUUGAUAAGAUAAAUUUAGUACAAUAGGGCAAGAAAUUAAUAUUGCAUAAAAGGAAUAUCAUUUAUGGACAUUUAAGAAUGCGAAAGAGGUAGUUUCUAAACUAAAAAAAAGGAUCAGUAGCUAAAGUACUACUUAGUUACGUUUCACAAAAAUAUGUUACUGCAAAAUAAGAUAAUUAAUUUGGUGAAUAUCAAUGGUUAUGACAGUCCACAACAGUGAAUUAGAUAUUAGAUUUUUAUUUGUGCUUGAUAAAAAAAGAGACAAGUUCUUGAUUCUUCAAGGUUAAUUAUUAUACUCAACAAUGUUUAUUUUGUUCUUAUUUAAUUAUUUAACUAAGAGCUAAUCAAUGAUUUGGGGUCACCUUCAUGUAAUAGAUGCCAUGGGAAAUGAAUUAGGUUUUGAUCAAUUCAGAGUUUAACGAUGCUUCGAAUGGAUAUCUUAAAGGACACACGCGUGUUUUUAUAGCUGAAGUCUUUGCUAAGAAAGGAAUAAAGGCAAAGGAGAGUGCCUUUCAUGAUGAGAUUCACAACUGCUUCCAUUUAUAAGCAUGCAUGGAAGAUCGAGAACUCUUCAAAGUGCAGUCAAAGCGUUACGAAUCAGAAAUAUUCAUUGCUGGAGAUCAAAAUCUAGAUUUGAUGCUCAAGUCCAGACAUUCAGAGUUCAUAAAAUCUCGGUUCGAACUAUAAUCAAAGUUGUACAACUCUAAUAUAUAAUAGCCUAAAUCUAGACAUCUGUACCUGAACAGGACUAAUACUUAAGGUUGAUUUAUACAUGUGCCUUAUAUUUCUAAUGGUAAUGCGGAAGAAAUUAGAAUAGUACAACUUGUUAAAAAGGUGCAUCAUGUUAAAACCACUUCUUCAAAUGUAUAAUGUAAAUGAUUUGCUAAAAUUUGUUUGUUUCUCUGUUAAUAUAUAUAAACUAAAUGCCACAUUUGAAAGUUAAUGUUUUAAUAAUUUGUUAAGUGGAACCUCUUAGUAAUUAUGUACAACUAAAUGCCGAGACUUAAACUUUACCCUUGUUGAUUUUUUCAGGAAGAUAUACCUCUAUCCCAAGGGACAGAGACAAGGACAUGGCAGUCAUAUUUCUAUGUACCUGGUAUUUGGCUGACUUCUCAACUAUAACUCGUGGUUUUUAAAAAUACCUUUGUUUCACAUUGCAAAUCCAAGAUCAAGUGUAGUCAAAGCAUAAUCAUAAAACUUUACCCUUGUUAUUAUUAACCCAAACUUUAACAGGUAUUGAAGUUCAUCAAUAAGCGUAGUAGCUAAAUACAGAUAACUUCAGGUUUCUAUUGUUGUUCCUGCAGCCAGUACAUGGUUUAGGAACUCAAUCGAAGAUUGGGGCUGGCACUAAUUUGUUGAACUCAGUUACUUGAACAAGGCAAGCAAUGGUUUUCUUGUGAACGAUGUGUGCAAUGCUGAAGCAGAGGUGUCUGUGCUUAGAAUUUCCAAAGCCCUGUAAUAUGCUCUAAUAAGCAUUGCUACUCUUGCAAGAAAAUUGGGAUGCCAAUUUUUUAAUUUUAUUUCUUAUAAUAAGAGUUAAUCUCAUCGUACCCAAAUAUUUUGACAAAGAAAUUCAAUUGUUGCCGCUCGAUAAUUGGUUGUUAAGUCUCCAAACGGAGACUACAUGAGGAUGCCUUCUUAUGGGUUUAGCCUGCGAUAUCUUAUUCAUUGUUGCUUUUUUUUUUCUCUCUAUAUUCUGCCAGUCGCAAUAGGUAAGGUACUAUAGACUUUUUUUAUCUUACGAAUGUGAAAUAAAAUGAAUUUAAAUCAAUAAGUAUUUACAGAACACUUAAGUGCUGCUCAACCAUAGUACUAAAUCGGGCUUAAAUUUUGGAAGCUAAUUAUAUUAGUUGAUAAUAGAAAAUAGACAACUAAAAUAUUGCUUCAGCUCGUCGAAAUACACGGUUUUUGAGUGGAGGGUACAUAUUUUUGUUCAUUUGUACUGUAGUUGUUUUCUUGCCUCUUACCAUCCAUUCUUGCAACCAAGCAAAGAAAUCAAUAUUCCUUGAUCAAACCAAACAAAUUAAAGAAUCAAUAUCCCUUUUCCCCCAUUGCAUUCCCCUUUCCAUUCCAUUCUUGCAACCAUCAUUUUCCAAAACUUGGUGAAUACCAAUAGUCAUUCUAACUCUUUCUAGAAAUUUAAUGUUGAAUUAUAUAAACCCUCAACCUUGAUGCUUUAUAUGUACCACGGUCCCUUUUAGAUAUCUUAAAGAAGCAAUAUUACUCUUGAGAGAAUACCCUAGCCCUUGAAGAACCUUAUUAUAAUCAAUCUUUCUUCAGUACUAGUUUUAGUACUUGAAGAUUUAUAAUAGUUUGGAGGAAUUUGCUGCAAUGGAAAAUGACUUUGUAGACCAAGUUGGUAUGUUCUCUGACUCUUUCCCCACCUCCCCUUCUCUAUCUAUGUUUAUAUAUGUGCAUUGAAAAUUUCUAGCAUGUUAUUUUCUGAUCAAUGUUAAAAUUACUCUUGACAGCAAUUUCGAGAUCCAUUUCACAUGUACCACCGGCACAUUUCUUACUCAAAAUAGAGGCAUUUUCAUCUCUUGUGGAGAAUGACGUGGAAAAUUAUAAAUCCUUGGAAUUUGAUGCUGGAGGCUACAAGUUGUGUGGCCCAAAACCUAAUUGUACACUAUAUUCAGAUCACCUUAUUACUAAAUUACAUAUCAUAAUCUAAUAUGUUAUUUUGAAUUCAUGAUGGUUUCAGGAAACUUGUUGUCUACCCAAAUGGAAAUAAAAAUGAAAAUGUGAAAGACCACAUCUCAGUCUACUUGGCUAUGGUAGACACAAGUUCACUUGGCCAUGGUUGGGAAGUCUAUGUGAUUUUCCGCCUAUUUGUGCUUGAUCAGAAGAAAGACGAGUUCUUGAUUCUUCAAGGUUAGUUAUUACACUCAAUAAUGUUUAUGAUUGUUUUGUGCUUAAUUAUUUAAGUGAGACCUAACCAAUGAUUUGGGCCGGUCACCUCCAUGUGAUAGAUGCAAUGGGUAAACAAAGACGUUUUCAUGGAUUAAAGCUUGAAUGGGGUUUUGAUCAAUUCAUCCCGCUUGAAGAAUUUAUUAAUGCUUCGAAUGGAUAUCUUGUGGGAGAUACGUGUGUUUUUGGAGCAGAAGUAUUUGUUAAAGAAACGAAAGAAUGCACAGGAGAGUGCCUUUCCAUGACGAAAUUGACAUCUGCUUCCAAUUAUAAGCUUGUUUGGAAGAUCGAGAACUUUUCAAAGUUAGAGGACAUGUUUUAUGAAUCAGAAGUAUUCGUUGCUGGAGAUCAAAAGUGGUAUGUAUACUUUUUGAAAUGGUGUUCAAAUCCGGACAUUCGGAGUUCAUAAAAAUCGAAUUUAAAAUAUGAUCAAAGUUCUACAUUUAAUAGCAAUUUAAAACUCUAAUAUAUCAUAGACUAAAUCUAGACCCGAGCAUGGCUAACACUUUAGGGUUUAUUUGUACGUCUGCAAUAGAUUUCUGAUGCAAAAGAAAUUCUUUUGAGUUUUGAAUAAUACAACUUGUUAAAAAGAUGCAUCAUGUUAAAACCACUUCUUCAAAUGUAUAAUGUAAAAUGAAUUGUUAAAAUUUGUUUGUUUCUCUAUUCACAUGUAUAAUCUAAAUGCCACAUCUAGAAGUUAAUGUAUUGAUAAUAUGUACAAUUGAAUGCAGAGACUUAUACUUUACCCUUAGUAGAUUUUUUUUUAGGAAGAUACUACUCCUUCCCAAAGGACUGGGAGAAGCUAAAGGCAGUCAUAUUUCUAUGUACUUGGAAUUGACUGACUCGUCAACUAUAACUGGUGGUUCUAAAAUAUACGUGCAUUUUACACUGCGAAUCCGGAAUCAAUUGCUGUCAAAGCAUUAUGAAAAAAAAGGUAAAUUAUUAUGAACCCAGACUUUAACAGGUAAUUCAGUUCAAUAAGUUUUGUAGCUAAAUGCAAAUAACUUAAGGUUUCUAUUCUCGUGUUUGCAGCUGGAGAAUGGUUAAAUACCUCAGACAAAUUUGGGGGUUGGACAAAAUUUGUUGAACUCAAUUACCUGAACAAGGCAGGAAGUGGUUUUCUUGUGAAUGAUGUGUGCAUUGUGGAAGCAGAGAUGCCUGUGCUUGGAAUUUCCAAAGCCCUGUAAUAUAUAUUCUAAUGAGCAUUGCGACUCUUGCAAGAAAAUUGGGAUGCCAAUUUUUAAUUUUAUAUCUUCUAAUAAGAGUUGAUCUCAUUGGACCCACCUCUUUUGGCAAAGAAAUUCAGUUGUUGACGCUCGAUAAUUGGUGGUUAAUUGGUUCUUAAGUCUCCACAUGGAGAUUCCAUGCAGCUGCUGUUUUAUGGGUUUAGCAUGUGAUAUCUAAUCCACUGUUGCUUUUGUCCUCUUUGUAUUUCGCUUUAUAGUCGCAACUAGUAAACCCGGUGGUAGACCCACACGUGGGUUAUACCGAACUGUGGUCUGGUCUAGUCCAGAAAAAAUCAUUUAUACCCCUUACAUUUUUAAUUAAUUUAGUAAAAUUAAAUCAUCCUAAAAUGUUGGCAUAUGCAUCUAAAUACUUUUCCAAGGAUGUUUUAAUAAAGUGUCAUUCAGGUAAAAUGUCUAAAUUGGAUGCAAUUGCAAUUGGCAACGAAUUUGCCAAAUUUAAGAAGAAAGAGAUGGGGUCCUCUAAAGCAGGAUUUGGGAGAUCUAAGGUAGGGGUUAGAGUAGAAGACCUAAUUUAGUGUCAGCCCAUUUUAAAAUAAAAUCUUGGGUGUGUUUUACACAAUCUUGCACUUCAUUAUCAUCUAUGAAAGUAUGCCUUUAUAUAAAUAAGAGAAAAAAAACCUUAACUUUCAAAUCACAUAAAAAAAAAUAAAAAAUACUUAAGUACUGCUCAACCACAAUACUUAAUUGAACCUAAAUUUUGCAAGUUAAUUAUAUAAUAUUUGGUAGUAGAAAACAAAACAACUAAGAUAUUGCUUCAACUCGAUGAAAUAUACAUUUUCUAGUGGAGGAUAUUUUUAUUCAUUUGCAUUAUAGUUGUUUUCUUUCCCCUUGCCAUUCCAUUUUUGUAACCAAACGAAAGAAUCAAUAUUCCUUGACCAAACCAAACAAAUUAAAGAAAUCAAUAUUCCUUUUCCCAUUCUAUUCCCCUUUUCUUUACCCUUAGCUUUCCAUUCCAUUCUUGCAACCAUCAGUUUCCAAAAUUUGAUAAAUAUCAACAGUCAUUUUGACUCUUUCUAAAAAUUUACUCUUAAAUUGUAUAAACCCUUAACUUUGAUAUGCUUCUAUAUACCAUGGUCCCUUUUAGAUAUUUUAAAGAAAAAAUAUUACUCUCGAGAGAACUCUAACCCUAGAAAAAUCUUAUUAUAAUCAACUUUCUUCGGUACUAGUUUAGGUACUUGAAGAAUUAUAGUAAUUUGGAGGAAAUUGUUGCAAUGGAAAAACAAGUUGGUAUGUUCUUUGAAAUGGUGCUUCGGUCCAAACGUCCCUACCAAGUUUGGAUUUAAGCUAUGAUCAGACAGACGUCCAAACUUGAGGAUAAUUAUAUCUAAUUAGGGUCCAAAAAUACACAGGUGUGAUAUAAUUGAUGCAAAAGAAAUUCUAUCAUAUGAAAAUGAUUUGUUUGUUAAUAUCUUUACUCAUAUCAUCUAAUUAAUUAAAUGCCUCAUCUAAAAAUGAGCCCUUAGGCCAUGUUUGCUUGGGGGUAGAGGAGUGGGGAGAGGAAAAGAAUUUGAUUUCUUUUUCACUUUCCACUAUUUGGUUGGACCAAAUUCAAUAAAAUUGAAUUUCCAUUAGAUUGAAGAAUUUGUAUUCCUUAUCAAUGGGUAAGGAUUUCGAAUUUCUCAUCUAUUGGAAUACAAAAAUUCCAUUAUUAUUCUCUAAUAAAAAUAAUUUAAAAUAAGUUAAAAUGAAAAUAAUUUAUAUUUAUUUUCUUAAAUUAAGAGGAUAAUUUAUUUUAAAAAAGAAAAAGCACUAAGGUGAAUCGCCAGACCGUCACUGAAGACUCGCUGGAGAUGCAUUUCACUAUCAAAACCAGUACCAAUGGAAUCCUUGUGAGCCGAUCUACAACUCUAUGGAGUUAGAAAUGCUAAUAUACAUUAUUACUUACCUCAAAUCUUGUUUAAAUAUUUGGGAAUAUUUUAACUCCCAUAUUUCCAACUAUAUAGUGUAUUUUCUGCAAAAUUAACACUUCCAAUGAGUAAAUCGUCCAUUUUUUUUUUAUCAUUAUUAUGUAUUUAACACGAUAAAAGAUGGCGAUUAGCAUCGAUAACGCCGGUCAACGGCGGUGUAAUUUUUAUUUUAAAAAAUAAAAUUCUCUAUUUAACUAGGUAAUUUCAACCUGGAAGAGAUGUAGAGGGCUUUUUUCUAUUAUUAAUAUUUUUUAAUUUUAAAAAUGCCAUAAAAAAUACUAUGAAAUACAUUCAUCCAAUAUAACAACACAACUUAAGUACCUAAAUACCUAUUUUUUCCCCCCUAUCUCUCUCUCAAUUUUUUGAUAUUUUUUCUUUUUUUUAAAAAAAAAGUUACAGACUUUUUUAAUUUAAUUCCUUGCUCGUUAUAAUACGUAGAUAAAUUGUUUAAUUAUAGUUAGAUAGUCAUGGAAUAAUUAACAAAUUGUUGAAUCAUAAUCUGUAUAUUUUCGAUAAUAUUCGAGCAAUUAAAAGAAUUAAUUAAAUAAAACCAAACGUAGAUCGAGAAGGAAUAUGAGUAUCAUAAUUACGUAACCAUUGAGGUCGAGACUGGUUGUCACCUUGAGAAAAGGUCGCGCAACCAUAUGUAAUGGGUGUAGGCAGAGGCCGAGAGGCGUGCAUUUGGCAGUUCCAAUAUAAGGGCAUUUUAGACUUUUCAUCACAUGUUUUGUAUUCGGUGCAAAAUUUAAAUUCCUCAGAAUUUCCUCUUUAUGUACGUAUAGAAGCUCACAGAAUAAACAGUCGAACACUCAAGACCGAAACGUGAUGGGUGACGAAGAUCGAACUUUCUGGCGGCUUGAAUCAAAGAAUCCAUAGAUUUUACUUGGGAGAAAAGAAACGUCAAAAUAUAAGAAAAAAUAUACAAAAUAAAUAAACAUAAAACUAGAAAAAAGAAGUGCAUAAAUACACUCACAGAGAGAGACUCAGAGAGAGUGAGAGAGAGAGAGAGAGAGAGAGUUCUAGCAAGGGAGAGAAUGGUGCUGUGGGAGAUCACAUUGGGAACAGCGUAUUUCUUGGGACUGAAGCGGACUUACAGGCUUGCUUUGAGGAUUCAGCGUCGCGUUAUCAGCCCUAAGCACCCUCGGAUUCGUCAAUUUGUUCACCGGUGUAUUUGUGUCGUUUUAUUAUUAUUAUUAUUAUUUAAUUAUUUUGUUUUGAGUUUGAUUCUGAUUAAUUUGUAGCUUGAUGGGUCAGCUAUCAAUAUGGUUAUUAGCGGAUGAGUCACAGAUUGGGAAUGGGCAUUUUCAAGUGUAUUUAUUGAUUAAGCUAGGUACUAGGUAGUUCAAGUUUUAAUUUUCAUUAAUGGGUUCUGUAGCUAUGCUCGUUAAGACAAUAAGAGCUGGUGAUUUUAGAGUCAAAAGAGGAUUAUGAUGAUAAUGAUGAUGGUGUUGGUGGUGUUGAUAAUGAUACGUAUGACACUGAUAUGGGUAUACUAACAAUACAUUGCGAUAAACGACUAACUAAACCUAGGUUAAAAGUAAAAUUUAACCCUCUCUCUAGAUGAGUAGCGAAAUCCUAAGCAAAGAACCUCCACCGCCGCUGGUGGAUGAUCGUUCAACAAAAAAGGCAAGGUUUAGGGAGCAAGGUGUUGAUGCUGAUAAUCCACCGCCCUUAUCCUUUAAAGAUAAACUGAUGGAAGACCAAAAUGAGCUUGAAGAGGAGAUCUUGGGUAGAGAAGAAGACCUGGAAUUUGAGCCUGAAGACGUGAUUGUAGAAGACAAGAAUAGUAUCCCAUCCAUCUCUUUCUCAGGAAAGAUACAAGCUCAGCUCGUUAAGCCAUGGAUGAACACGAUUGUUGUCAAGUUGCUAGGGAGGUCUAUGGGAUAUAGGGCUCUCUGCAAUAAGCUGAAUGAUCUAUGGAGAACGUUGCAAGGCUUCACAGUUAUAGACCUGGAGAAUGACUUCUUCCUGGUUAGAUUCAAGUCUGAGAUUGAUGCACAGUAUGCUCUCACACAAGGGCCUUGGACCAUUCUUGGCCAUUAUCUCACCGUACAACAGUGGACACCUCAUUUUGAUAGUUCUAAUGUCAAUAUUGAAAACAUUGUGGCUUGGAUUCGCAUACCGGGUAUGCCUCUACACUAUUACCACAAAAGGAUCCUUCGCAUGAUUGGAAACGUCGUGGGAAAAGUGAUUAAAAUUGACUACAACACCGAGUCAGCAAGGAGGGGAAAGUUUGCUCGCAUUGCAGUGGAAAUUUCAUUAAAGAAGCCUCUCUGCUCACAAUUUUUUCUGGAUGGGAAGUUGCAAAAUAUUGAGUAUGAGAAUCUGCCUAUUAUUUGCUUUAAUUGUGGAAUUUACGGGCAUAAGAAUGAUGAUUGCCCACAGUCAAACACAUUGAAAAAUCCGAUGGAGAGUUGUGAGAAUAAUGUUGCGGAGGAUAAUCCCGGUGGUGGGGAGGAAAAGUCAUCAUCUUCUGAAGUUCCGGUUAAUCCUAGUUUUGGUCCUUGGAUGAUCGUCAGCCGGAAAGGGAGGGGAAGAGUCAGCAAGGAAGGCGGCUACACAAAAAAUUUCAACCGUUUCCGAGACGGCAAAAGUGAAGGGGGCUCUCGUUUCGAAGUUCUCGAGAAGGAGGAAACUGAAGAAAGAGAAAUUGCUCUCCCUCGAAACCAUAAUGUUUCCACAACCGAAAAUGAACAGCCAGUUACCCACUUUAAAUAUAAAACCAAAAGCAAUCCUAAAACCAACUCCACCAUGCAAAAACCAAGUGUCAACAAUGCCAAGCCCCAAUAUUUGAAUAUUGAACACUCUUUAUCCCCACCAGCUCCCAUGCAUGCAAGAGCACUACCACGUACCCUUUCAACUAACCAUGCACCCUCAACCGAUUUACCAGUUCCCACCACAGUCCCUACUAGCUUGGAUCCCGCAAAGCACACAGCCAUUAAAUUUAUUCCCCCAAGAGUUGAACCUUCAUCACUAAAUGCAAUUAUUGAUACAUCUCAAUCCAAUUUGAGGCUUGCUGUCCCCACCAUCUAUUUCGGAGACCAUGACAAACCCCCUGAUGAUAAUUUGGCUAUGGACGAUAAUGAAGAGAAUAACCCGGAUGAUGGAAACUCAAUGGAUGAUGAUAGUGAGUAUGAUUCAGCUUCUGUUGAUAGCAGGGCCUCUUUGGAGGAGAAAGAUAACAUGGAAUGUUAAUGAUGUCUCGUAUGGCCAAUCCUUUGUCUUUUUUUUCCUUAAUGAUGAAUUUAUCUAUCCUUUUUUGGAACUGUCAAGGGGUAUCUUCAUCGGGUUUUAAAAGAACUUUUAAAACCAUGAGCAAGAUUUACAAACCUGAUAUUGUUGCUAUUUUGGAGCCUAAAGUCAGUGGGGCUAAAGCUGAUUAUUUUAUUAAAGGAAGUGGCUUUGAAUUCUCACAUAGAGUGGAGGCUGAGGGCUUUGCUGGGGGUAUUUGGAUACUAUGGAAUAGAGGUUUCGCAAUGGAGUUUGUCGUUAACCACAAACAGUACAUUCAUUUUAAAGUUACAGACUUUUCUGGUAAUUGGUCAUGGGUCACUGCAGUAUAUGCCAGCCCCAAUCCCAGCCUUCGAAGGAAAUUUUGGAACGAGCUAGAGUCAAUAGCUAAAUCGAUAAAGGGACCUUGGAUGUUGGGUGGCGAUUUCAACUCAAUUCUUCAUGCUUUAGAGAAAAAAGGUGGCUCACCAAAAAGCAGUGGUAUUUGCAGAUCUUUCAAUAACUGGUUUCACGACAAUCGCCUUAUAGAUUUGCAUUUUAAAGGGCCUUGCUUCACUUGGUCUAGAGGAACCCUGUUUAAAAGACUUGAUCGUGCCAUUUGUAAUGAUCAUUGGAAUAGUUUGUUCACAGAAGCUUCGGUCUUACAUCUCCCAAAAAUUCACUCUGAUCACCGUCCAAUUCUUGUCAGCUUCGACUCAAAUUUGAAUAGGAGGAAUGGUGUAAAACCAUUUCGUUUUUUAGCAGCAUGGCUAAUGGACCAUUCUUUUAUUUCUCUCGUUGCUAAAGAAUGGAGGGAUUCUGAGGGGUAUUUUCAAGCUGCUCAUGAUUUUGUGGAUAAAGUCAGCAAGUGGAAUAGAGAUAAUUUUGGGAAUAUUUUUAAAAGAAAAAGGAGAAUUCUUGCAAGAUUGAAUGGCAUUCAGAGAGCCCUGGAGUGCUUUGAUUCAAAAAGGCUUCUUAAACUAGAAUCCAAAUUGAAGACGGAACUUGAAAAUAUUUUAUCCCAAGAGGAAUUAUUAUGGUACCAAAAGUCAAGGCGUGAAUGGAUUGCUUGCGGGGAUAGAAACACAGCCUAUUUCCAUAGUAAAACAAUUGCUAGAAGAAGAAGGAAUCGAGUGGAUGCUAUUCAAAAUAGCGAGGGCAAGUGGAUUUAUGACAAGGAAGAAAUUAAAACUCACGCCAUUGAUUUUUUCUCUAGACUUUUCAACUGUCAAGAUGAAGAGGUCCGAUUUUACUCCAUUGCAAAUGCCUUUCCAAAGAUUGAGGAAGACAGAAUAGCCGAUAUUUGCAGAGCUGUUCAGAGAGAGGAAAUAAAAGCUACUAUUUUCGGAAUGAAACCAUUAAAGGCUCCAGGAAUUGAUGGACUCCAUGCUCUCUUUUAUCAGACACAAUGGAAUGUGGUUGGUGCUUCAGUUUGCGAUCUUGUGAGUAAUAUUUUUAAAGGCAAUCCCCUUCCCCUAGAACUGAACAGGACCCUUAUUGUCCUUAUCCCAAAAACCAAUAACCCCACCAACAUGAAAUUGUUUCGUCCUAUCAGCCUUUGUCCAGUUCUGUACAAAACAGUCACAAAAAUUUUGGCAAACCGGCUAAAGGAGAUUUUACCUGACUUGAUUGGUCCAACUCAAACUAGUUUCGUCCCCGGAAGGCAUAUCACAGAAAAUAUUGUCAUGGCGCAAGAAAUCAUCCACACAAUGAAAAAUAAAAGGGGUAAAGUUGGGCAGAUGGCUAUCAAAGUAGAUCUUGAGAAGGCUUAUGACAGGCUCCGAUGGGAUUUUAUUCAUGAUACUCUUAAAGAUGUUGGGUUGCCUCAGGAGUUUAUUCGAAUUACAAUGGAAUGCAUCACCACAGCUAGAAUGCAAAUCUUAUGGGAAGGGGAGCUCACUGAUGAAUUCACUCCUUCUAGAGGCAUCCGACAGGGAGACCCUCUUUCUCCCUACAUUUUUGUUCUUUGUAUUGAACGUCUUAGUCACGGAAUUAAUCAAGCAGUGUCUGACGGAAGAUGGUGUCCUAUACGUCUUUCACAUAAUGGUGUCCCUCUAACACAUCUCUUUUUUGCAGACGAUUUGCUCCUUAUGGCUGAGGCUUCUUAUAAUCAAGCCCAAGUUAUAAAUAAUGUACUUGACAAUUUCUGCAGCUGCUCAGGGGAGAUGGUUAGUAAACAGAAGACCCGUGUGUUUUUCUACAAGAAUGUUGAAAAGGCUAUGGCAAGGAAAAUAAGUGAGUCUUUAGGUUUCUCUGCUACGGACAAUCUUGGCAAAUAUCUCGGAAUGCCGCUGCUUCAUAACAGAGUUACCAAAGCUACUUAUCAGGAGAUUGUGGACAAUGUUGAUAAAAAGCUGUCAGGGUGGAACUCAAUGCAUCUCUCUUUAGCUGGAAGAAUUACUCUUGCUCAAUCAGUUAUUCAAGCGGUUCCUAUUUUUGCCAUGCAAACGACAAGGAUUCCUCAGGGAGUGUUAGAUAAAAUUGAUCGGAUUUCUCGGAGAUUCAUUUGGGGAGGAAAUAAUGAAGACCGAAAAAUCAAUCUGCUUAAUUGGGAAAUGGUUUGUACACCGAAAUCUGGAGGUGGUCUUGGCUUGAAGAAUCUUUCUGAUAUGAAUAAUGCUCUGCUUAUGAAAAUUGGAUGGAAUAUGUUGGUUUCUCCACACAGUUUGUGGGUUAAGAUUCUGAGAUCUAAAUAUGGGCUUACCUCAGACUCUAUACCUAUAGCUAUUGACAAUAAGUGCAGUUCUUAUCUUUGGAAAAGCAUAAGCAGAAUCUGGGAUUAUGUGUUACGGGGCAUGAGAUGGACGAUUGGAGAUGGAAAUAAAAUUAACUUUUGGCAUCAGCGUUGGGUUUCAGAAGAAAUAAUUAUUGCAGAUUAUAUUACAAAGCCAAUUCCAGCUGAGUUAAUAAAUAAACGAGUGGCUGAUUUUGUAAAUGCUGAGGGGCAGUGGAACUGGAACAUGAUUAGUACUUUUAUCCCCAAUCAAAUUCUUCUCCAAAUUGCAGCGGUCAAGCCCCCGUCUGAUGGCAAAUGCGAAGAUCUCCUAUAUUGGGCUCACUCAAAAACGGGCAAGUUCACAUCUAAAUCAGCUUACCUUUUUCUGAAUAAUUCCAAUUGCAGCAAAGAUGCUCAUUUCUGGAAAUUAAUUUGGCAAUGGAAAGGGCCCCAACGAGUUAAAAUUUUUUUAUGGUUGGUGAUGCAUGGAAAAAUUAAAACUAGAGAGGAGCUUUUUAAGAGGCAUAUUCUGGAUAAAAUGAAUUGUGAAAGAUGUGGCCAUGAGAGAGAAAACGAGAUGCAUGCACUUAGGGACUGUUUUGUUGCAAAGAGAAUAUGGAAUUGUUUAAUUCCAGUCAACUUCAGACAUCAUUUUUUCUCCUUUAAUCUUCGUGAUUGGCUCUGUUUCAACUUGGGAAAGACUGGUAUCAAUGAAGUGGGGGAUGAAUGGGCAUGUUUAUUUGGAGUGGCUAUCUGGAAAAUUUGGUUUUGGCGUAAUCAAUUUCUUUUCUCACAAAAAUCCCCUUACUGCACCCAUGUUGUUGCUGAAAUUAAAUCUUGGGCUCAAGACAUUCAAAAUGCACGAUCAACUCUUAGUUUCGGUCAGAGUAAUAAGAUCAUCAAAGAUGUUAGAUGGCAAGCUCCCCCUGAAUCUUUUUUCAAAUUAAAUACUGAUGGAUCACGAUUAAAGAAUGGUCUAGCCAGCACUGGAGGCUUGGUGAGGGAUUGCUAUGGAAAGUGGCAGUUUGGCUUUGGCAUGAACAUUGGAUUUGGAUCGGUGACUACUGCAGAACUUUGGGGUCUUUUUCAAGGACUUAAUAUUGCUUGGGACCGUGGCAUUCGUUAUUUAAUUGCAGAGGUGGAUAGCCAAUGUGUUUCCCAACUUAUUUCCUCUACUAGUUUGAUGCCUAAUGCACAUUUUUCUCUCAUAACUGCCAUAAAGGAACUGAUGAAUAGACAAUGGCUCAUUACCAUAAAGCAUAUAUAUCGGGAAGCCAAUUUUGCUGCAGAUUCCAUGGCGAAACUUGCUGGUUCCUUACCCCUUGGACUUCAUGUCUUUGAAAAUCCCCCCGCGGGUCUUGGUUAUUGGUUAUGUAAUGAUAUAUAUGGGACCUCUAUUCCCCGUUCUGUUUUAGCCUAGUUUUACUAGGCUCCAAUGUAUCAAAAAAAAAAAAAACAAUACAUUGCGAUGCAAUGUUCUUUGUUUCACGAUUUUAUGAUAUUUUUCGAAAUUGAUCUUGGUAAUUUGAUUUAACUGUAUGGUUGUGUUUGUUAUUCGGAAGUUGGUUAUUGAUGCUUGCUAAAGAUCUAAUGUAAGAAAGCAGAGGAGAGUAAUGGAGUUUUAUUGUGGUAGGAAUUGAUUCCUUGGAGUAAUAAUGUGGCUUACUACCAGCUUGGCUAGACCGAGAACGGCUUAUUAGCAAAGGCAACGGACAGAAGGAGCCAAAAUUUUAGGUUUUCUAAGAAUAGGGAGAGGGUGAAGUAAAUAAAAUUACAAAUUUGUAAAAGAUCCUGAAAACCUGAUUUCAAAAGUUUAUCCAGAUAUAUGUGUUGUUGUCUACUCAUAUCAUAUAUUGCAGUGAAAGUAAGACAGGUUUACCUUAUAGAAACUAGUGUUGUGUGAACUUAACCAUGGAGUAACUAUAUAGGAAGCAACAGACGUGAGCUUUCCUUGUGGCAUCUUCUAUGUACUUAUAUAUUUCCUUAGGGAGUAAUCCUAUGCUGUCAAAAACCAUAAAAGCGUAUGCUCUUUUGGGAGGCAUUGCAUGGAUUUUGGUUUUCUUUUGGGGUCAAUGAUUCAUAGAAUUUCUUCUUGCUCUUCCCUUGUAUUCUCUCUUCUCACUACCUAUUUUACUGUUAUCUCUUCUAUUUCUCUUUCUUUAAAAGCUUUUCAGCUGAAAUUUCUACCUUCUUACGCCUCUUCAAUCGGAUUUUGAUGGAUCUUGUGGAGUUGAUUUUGUCAAAUCUGAAUUCAAUAUGUUGCAGCAAUGCAUCCUACCGCAUGGGAUUAUCUUAGACUAUGUGUCCACAAUAACGACAGCUUGUCUUUGCCUACGUAUUAAUCAUCUCUUUGAAAAGAUACUUUCACGGUGGUUCAUAAAUUGUUAUUCAUUGUCUGAAUUUUCUGUGUGAGUGCCCCAUGCCGUUAGACCAUCUCUUAAAAUGGAAGUUUUCUUGCUAGAUGCAUGAUGAGCAUAAUUUAUAUACAUAUUUUACCCUUAAUAAUAUAAUUGCUAGUUAUAUUUAUUUAUUAUUUUUAAUUAAUUGAAUUGUUUUAUUGAAUAGGGAAUUAAUUGGAGAUUGUUGAUAAAAAGGGCAUGAAAACACUUCAAAUUGAGAAGGAAUAAAGAUUAAAUUGGAAGACAAAAAUGCAACCAAGAAUUAAUGGAAGUCAAGAAGACCAAAAUUGGAAGUCAAUCUCUUCAAAGGAUGAACGGUCGGCAUGCAUUUGGAAAGCAAAGAUUUGGCAAUUUGGAAUGCAUGUGCUGGGCAUUAAAAGAAGAAAUCAUUAAUUGGCCUUUUGCUUUUGUGGUCAAACGUGUGCUUUGCUUUCAAAGUUUAAUAAGGAAAUAAUUUUAAAAGGCCUUGGUGAGUGGGCUUUAUAAGUCGGUGGAGAAGAAUUAAUGCAAUUAGAAUCCAAUAAGGAUUAAGCAAGUCAGUAACAUUAUAUAAAGGCAAGAGGGCCACGGGAGGAAGGAGGGAACUGGAGACGCAAGGAUUCAAGACAGAGAAGAAAAUCAGCAGCAAUAUUUCGGCUUCCCCAUGGCUGAAUUUAUUUAUUUUGUUGCUCCCAAUUCAAGUAUGUCUAGCUAAUUUUCUUAUACUGAGGUUAAGGAUGAAACCCUAUUCAAUGAAAUAAUUAUCUCUUUUUAUUUAAUUAAUUCCCUAUAUAUGUUCUUUGAUAAUUAUGGUUUUUAUUUCACAUGAUUAAUUGGAUGUUAUUAAAAUCUUUUCAUCAAUUCUGUCAUGCAUUAUUGAUUGUUAGGAUUAAUAUUCGAUUAAUUCUAUGCUUGGAUCUAUAAAGUUUAUACAUGAUUAUCUUUGAUUUUAUGUCUUUCAUUAAAUUGUUUACAUAGAGUGCUUAGGAAAACUUUGACUCUUUGUUAUUCAAUAUGUUUACAUGGGAGGCUUAGAUGUCAUAUUAUUAAGCAGAAAAAGAACCUACAUUAGAUUUAAUUACUUGGGCUUAAUUGUUAUAUCUAUGAGAUGACAUAGAUUGAUUUCGAGUUGUCACUCUAAAAUUGGGGAUUAAUUAAUAAUUAGAUAAUUACUAGUUGAAUAGUGGUGGAUUCUGAAACCUUGGUAAUUUCUAUCUUAUUGAAUUCUCUUUUAUUUUAAUUGCUUCCUUAGUUUAAUUGGUUUAAUUUUCUUAAAAACUCAAUUUGCUCAACUAGGUUAGGAGUAAUAUUAAUUUUAGAUUUAAAUUAGACUUUUUAUCAAUCCCUGUGGGAUCGACCUCGUUACCACUACUCUAUUUCUAGAUUCGUGCGCUUGCGAGUAUAUUAAAAUUUUCACAACAAUGCACCUAUUGUAUUCUGCUUGUUUACGUUUGAGUGUGCCCCAUCUUGGCUAUUCCAAUGAACUUAUUGCUUCCAAUCUAAUGAGCUCCAUUGAAGCUUAGUUAUACAGAGGUCAGCAUAUGUGUUUGAAUACGGCUAUAACAAAGUACCAAUCUAUAUUUUAGCUGUGUUAAUUAUAUAGGAAUAUGAAGGGAAAAACUUUAGUUUAGUAUUUCAACUAGUUCAUUGUGCAUCCUGUCACUUCUACUUCAGCUUGGAUGUAAACUGAUGUGAAUGGUUCACAUUGACUUGAUAUCAUGUGCAAUAUGAGAGACCACUGAGCUCUUCCCUCAAAGCAAUUAUUCUUUCCUAUCUGACUUAGAAUGGCCCUGUGCAUUUCAUAAUAAAAUCAGCUUCUAAAUCUGUGAUCUUAUGACAUAUUGUAUAGGCUAGGUUGCUGAAUUUUUUAUUUAACCAAUUAUGGAGCAAAGCCAAUCCUUAAAAGAUUAAGAGAAGUUACUAUCAACUCAGUUGAUCGUUGAAUAUCUGCAACUGCAACCUGCAUUCCCUCGCUCUAGAUUGGUGCAUAAUUUCUAUUGCGAAGUUUUGCAAACCUCCAACUAGUUUUGUCUAUGUGCCAAUUAUGGGAUUUGAAUUAACUUAUCUUUUAGAUUUGCUAUACCAAACUUUUAACGAAAUGUUUUUUGCUGUUUUGGCAUUAUGUUGAACAUUGAUGUCAAAAUAACAUGUUUGCCAGCUUCUUGUAGUACCUGUAGGUGAAGCAGUCAGAGAGUCUCAUAUGUAUUCCUGUGAACUUAUUACCCAAUCAAGCUACAAUGCUCCGAUACCAGAACUAAAUUCAUUAUUAUGAGCACAUUCUUAAAUUGCUGUCUCUCUUUGGGUGAUAUGAAGAUUUUGGAGAAGCAAAGGUACUAACGUCCAAAGCUGGAGGUCAUAGCUGUACUCUUGUUUAGUUCGGAGAGACUGUUUUGAAAUGAUACAUUGAAAGUUCUUCUGUGCUUUUCUUUUUAAUGAGCUGUUGUAUUUUGAUGUUUAUUAGGAGGACGUUAUUAACUUCAUGAAGGUAAGUUACCAGGGCACAUUUCUUUGUUCCAGAAUCCUUCCGAUCUAGUUGUAAUUAUUCAUGAAAGCCUCUGGAUAAAACGGAAAUCCUAAAUUAGUUAAUUGUUUCAAUACUUUGGACUUUGAAUUGAUUUAGUAUGCCUCAUGAAACCAAUAAUUGCACAUCCUCCACUCUUAGAGUCUCAGUGUGAUAUUGACCACGGUACUGCCUGAGCAUUGCAUUCUUCCCACUGGUUGGCUCAUUGGAUUCCAUUCUACUGUUUAACUACUGCUGUUAUGUCAGUUACUAGCUGGCAAAUACUGUUAUUUCUACAAUUGUUUUGAAUAAUAACAAAUUUAUUACUCCUCCAACUUGGAACUGCCAUUGUUUUUUGAAGACUGACCUUCAUUCUUCAUUGAUUUUUUCCACAGCCGAGUACGUGCUGCCUUUGAUGUUGCUCUCAAGUUUCACAGGAACAUACAAGAGAGGGACAUAGAAGUUGGUAGAAAUGUUGGUAACUGGAUUCUACGUUGGCUUGACCGAAUGAAAGCAUCUGCCCAGAUACGUGGUCCGCCUGAGAAACUGUCACAUGGCUCCAGCAUGAGCAUGACCAGCCAUGGAAUGAAGUCCUCGAAUCCAAAAACUCCUGGAGUCCAAACAUCUAAACCAACCUUUUCCACCAUUGCCAUGAUGAUGCGGCAUCCAAGACCUGCAGGAACCACAACCCAGUAUAGGCAUCUUGAGACAAAUGGAUCUGAUCUGUUGAGUUUGAACUACAAUAGAAAUGGGUUUGAUGGAGUGCUGCGAAAGGACAUUAUGCAGUGGUUGCUGCAAAAGUGAAGGUAGAAGCUUAUCAGACACCUGUUCCUUUCUGAAGUUUUAAUCGCCAAUAAUUCAGUUAUAAUAUCUCACUCAAACCGCUCGCAUUAUUGGACUCCUAAAUUUGAAAUUCAUCCAUGCUAGUUAUGGACAUGUUGCUUGAUGCACUAAUUACUGGAGGGCUGCGUGCUGCGAAAGCUGGUAAAGAUAGGUUUUAGUUGUUCUGCUUCUGUACUCAAAGAUAGUAAUUGUUCUCUCCGUUUUCAGUGACUAGGUUUUUUGUUUCCGAACCAGUAACUGCAUAGUUGCUUCUGGUAAUGUUUGUUUGUUUCUUUGUUUGUGAUGCACAUUCCCCCAGAUUGGAAACGGCUGUGGUGAUGGCGAUCAUCUUUCUCUGUACUUGGCUUUGGGAGAUUCCACAGUCGAGGUGAUUAAAGAAUAUAUAUGCAGAGCAUACAUUGCGAAUCAUAGAUCAAGUGGGGGCGAAACAUAAAUCUUUUCGAGGUAAAAUGUGUGUGUUUACAUGCAAUUAGUAUUUGAGGCAAAUCCAAAUAAUAUAACGAGAGUGUUCCUUUUACUCUAGCAGAGAAUAAAUACUGGUUCCAUACACCAAGCGAUAACUGUGGCCGGCCAAGAUUCAUUUCAUUGAGUGAGUUAGAUGAGCCAGAGACUGGAUUUCUAGUGAAUGGCGUUUGCGUGGUGGAAGGCUGGAAGUGGAAGCUGAGGUCACUGUGCUUGUAAUUUCCGAGCCAUUAUAACAAGUAAUUAAUUGUCCUCCAAAUGGGUUCUUUUAUUGUGUGAUGCUGACUGCCUGGCUAAUCUAGGAAAUUUAUUUCUCUUGUGGUUUUCCAAAAUAACUCUUACGUUGUUUAUUGUUUAUGCUGUCCAGCUAACUUUUUAGUGUGAUUUUGGUUUUCUAUUUCUCUGCAUCUCUUUAAGGAGAAAUUCAUUAUAUCCCCUACGCUGUAAUGCUUCUCUUCUAAGAUUUUGAUUUUAAAAAAAAAUAAGAAAAAAGAAAAAAAAAUGUAGUUGAAACGAAGAAAAUUAGGUGCAAGAGAACUAAUAAUUUCACUUAGAAAAUUAAAACAAAGUAGAAUAGAAUCUUGUUGAAUUAAUAUUGGAUAAAUUGAUAACUUUGAUUAAAUAAUAGUUUUUGUCAUUGUAACUUAGAGUCAAUAUGGUAAAUUAAUAAUUCGAUAAAUUUUAUUAGAUAAUAUAUUUUAAAAAAUUAUUUUUCUAUAGGACCCAAUUAAUACAUGUAUUAAUAAUUAAUUAAUUUAAAGCUAAAUAUAUAUGACAUGUCAAUGAUUUUUUUUUUUUUUGUUGUUGCGCUGACAUAAUGCUUUAUGCAUUUUAUCGAUCAUUAUUACUUUUUAUACAAGAGAAGUUAUUGUUCUAUUAUAUGUGUUGUGGUAAGAGAAAUGAGAGAGAGAGAUCGGUUUAAUCUAUUACCUCCAAAAAAUCUCUUUUGAUGAGUCACCAUGUAAUCGUGAUCCAGCCAUGCAAUCUAACCAAAGAAUUAUCAAGUGAUUGAUUCACUCAAUCAAGAUCAAAUCAAAAUCCUAUCAUACAACUUGAUAAAAUCACUAAAUUCUCUAAUUAUGCUACCACUGUAUUUCAUAAAAAAAUUCAAUUAUCAACGUGAUAUUAUAUCUAUAAAGAUGAAUAAUAUUCAUUAAUUUAUGGAUAUAGCCAAAGUGCCAAACUGCCAACCAUUUUGUUAAUAAUCCAGGGAAGCAAGAAAAUAAGGCUUUUUGCGGUUGAUUAAAGUCCCCGCAAACAAACCAUAUUUACUAGUAGUGGCGUGGAUAAUGCUAAUUAAUUACUAAAUUAAUUAUACUAGCAAUACUACCUUAGGAUAUUUUGUUAAAUUCUCUAGUAAUACUACCUUAGGAUCACUAAAUUUUCUAAUUAUACUAGCUCAGAAUCACUAAAUUCUCUAAUUAUGCUAACACUAUAUUUCAUAAAAGUUCCUGUUAUCAAUGUGAUAUUAUUUCUAUAAAGAUAAAUCAAUAUUUAUUAAUUUAUAGAUAUAGCCAAAGUACCAACCAUUUUGCUAAUAAUCCAGGGAAGCAAUUGAUCCACUACAAGCCAUAUUUACUAGUAGUGGCGUUGAUAAUGCUAAUUAAUUACUAGUACUAUUUCUACAAUGAUGCUUCUAUUCAUGUAUCAGUGCAAUAAGUGAGCUACUGAUAAUCGUGGCUCUGUUUUGGACUUCAAUACCUUUGAAGAGCCAUCUAGCGGUCUUGUAGUUGUUUCACAUUAUAUGCGAGGGAGGAAGGUUAUGUUCUUUUGUGGUAUCACUGCUCCAUUAACACUUUGCCCAUGUUUGAGUAUCAUAUUGGCAUUUUUACGUUGAUUAACUAAUUAACAUAAAUAUAUCAUCUAAGCUGCUAUGCACAACGCUGUGGUUAGAUCUAAUUAGGAUUCAAUAAUAUCGUAUUUUUCAAUAUUAACUUGGGGAUAUUCUGUCGAUCUAGACUUACUUCAGCUUUGAGCUUUGAAGUACAUUUUAAUACUUGCACAUUAUUAUACAUGCGAUUAUUAUCUAUAUAUUUGUUAUGUUUACUUUAAUUAUUAACAAUCAAGAAAUUUCUCCACACAAAAAAAUCUGUGAAAUGAACAAUCCCGACAUGAGCUUAGAAUUUUCUAAGCGCUGUAACGAAGAUUAGUACAAACCAAAGAAAAUUUCGAUUGAGUUUGUAUUUUCGAGUUUGGUCAAUUAGAAAGUAGGAUGUAGACAGUCCAAUCAUUAGGCUUUUUAUUAAAUUUAUUUAUUUAUCCCCUAAUUUAGUAAUUAAUGAAGAUUCAUUGUAUAUUUGCUUAAAUUAUGUUUAUUCAUUGUAUUUUCAAGCAUCACAUUUUUGUGUUCUAGAUUCUAUGAUUUUUUACUUUUUUUUUGUAGAGAUCGGUGAAACUUAGUACACGUCCUCUGAGUAAUUUUAUUUUUCUUUUAUUUAAAACGACUUCGUGCUGUCCAAGUUACCAAAAAUAAAAAUAAAAAUUCAACAACUUUUUGGAGAACUUUUCGCAAUGGAAAAUAUCUUUGUUUAACAAAGAUGGUAUGUAUGUUCAACUUUUUCUCACGUUCUCUAGAGGACAAUAUUCUUAAAAUUUUCAGCUUAUUUUUAUUUCUAAUCAAUCGGUGUUAAUUAAAAAUUACUUAAAUGUAUAGCUAUUGCAAGAUACACUUCACUACCACCGGCUCAUUACAUUGUCAAAAUAAAAUCAUUUUCAUUACUUGCGGAAAAAGCAGAAGAGGAAUAUGAAUCAGGAGAGUUUGAAGUUGGAGGAUACAAGUGGUACACAUAUAUAUAUAUUCUUAUCCUUAAUAACACAAGUUCAUUUACUUUGGAUUGGGAAGUCUCUGCAGUUUUUCGUCUGUUCUUACUUGAUCAGAACCAAGAAAACUACUGUGUAGUUCAAGGUUAAAUCAAAUUUAGUGUGCAGAAUUGUAUAUUGCAACAUUAGGAAAAAAAAUUGAAUGCAUGCAUAAUGAGUGGUUGCUUGUAAUAUGAUAGAUAUCAUGGGAAAGGAAAGACUGUUUAAUGGACUGAAGCAUGUAUGGGGUUUCGAUAAAUUCAUCCCGCUUAGAGCUUUCAAUGAUACUUCGAAUGGAUACCUUGUCGAAGAUACGUGUGUUUUUGAAGCUGAAGUCAAGAAACAAAUUCAAAGAAAUUUCAAUUAGUUGUAAGUGUAUUUCGAAAAUCGAGAACUUUUCAAAGUUAGACGCAGGAUAUGAGGAAUCACAAGUUUUCGACGAUGGAAAUCACAAAUGGUAUCAAAGAUUUUAAUUUUUAAAAAAAAUUUCUACAGGUAUAAUAAAUAAUGAGUUCUUGGGACAAAGUUGUCAGUGAGUCUACAAAUAAUAAAAUACCGUUUCGGUGUUUUCAGGAAGACAGAGCUACACCCAUGGGAGCUGGGCCCGAUGCUGGUGAUUAUCUUUCCUUGUUCUUGGUUUUUGGAGAUUCCACAGUUCGGAGUACUGUUAAAGUAUACGCAGAGUUUACAUUUCGAAUCUUGAAUCAAGUUCGGGCAAUGCAUGAAUCUUCUUAAGGCACAUUGCUUGUUUUAAUACGCAACUAAUUUAGUUGCCACUGGCAGCUUGACCGAGUGAUUUUCAAGCAGUUUUCUUUAACUUUUGAUUUUGAAAGUACCUUUAACCCAAAAUAAUAAUAAUAAUAAGCUUAAUUUGAGGCUAUAGAAUUCAAAUAAUAUGUAUAAUGAGAAUGAUUCUUUUUCUCUAGGAGGUAGAGAAAGGUUCCAUUGAGUAAGUUAAAUGACCCAGAGAAUGGGUACCUUGUGAACGACGUUUGCGUUGUGGAAGCUGAGAUCACUGUGCUCAGAAUCUCCGAGGCAUUGUAAUAACAAGUAUUCUUUUUGGUUUCUCACGAAAUAAAGAAAUUCAUUGAUUUUUUGCUUACUUAUGCGAUCACGUUUGUUCAUUGACAUAAUUCUUAAUCCUGGAAGGAAAUCUCUGACAAUCUUAAUCCUGGAAUAAAAUCACAUCUAUCAAAUAUUAACAAGUGAGAUGGUGACAAAAACUCUUAGUUUUUAAUUAAAGAGUAAGUAUUGAUAAGAUAAAUUGAGUACAAUAGAGCAAGAAAUUAAUAUUACAUAAAAGGAAUAUCAUUUAUGGACAUUUAAGAAUUCAAAAGUAGUUUCUAAACUAAAAAAAGGAUCAGUAGCUAAAGUACUACUUUGUUACGUUUCACAAAAAUAUGUUACUGCAAAAUAAGAUAAUUAAUUUGGUGAAUAUGAAUGGUCAUAACAGUCCACAACAGUGAACUAGAUAUUAGAUUUUUAUUUGUGCUUGGUCAGAAAAGAGACGAGUUCUUGAUUCUUCAAGGUCAAUUAUUAUACUCAACAAUGUUUAUGAUUAUUUUGUUCUUAUUUAAUUAUUUAACUAACAGUUAAUCAAGGAUUUGGGGUCACCUUCAUGAAAUAGAUGCCAUGGGAAAUGAAAGAAGCUUGAAUUAGGUUUUGAUCAAUUGGGAAUUUAACGAUGCUUCGAAUGGAUAUCUUGAAGGACAUACGUGUGUUUUUGGAGCUGAAGUCUUUGCUAAGAAAGGAACAAAGGCGAAGGAGAGUGCCUUUAAUGAUGAAAUUCACAACUGCUUCCAUUUAUAAGCAUGUUUGGAAGAUCCAGAACCUCUCAAAGUUGCACUCAAAGCGUUACGAAUCAGAAAUAUUCAUUGCUGGAGACCAAAAUCUGGAUUUGAUGCUCAAGACCAGACGUUCAUAGUUUAUGAAAUCUCGAUUCGAACUAUAAUCAAAGUUGUACAUUUUAUAACGCUGCACAACUCUAAUAUAUAGUAGCCUAAUCUAGACAUCUGUAACUGAACAGGACUAAUACUUAAGGUUCAUUUAGACUUGUGCGAUAUGUUUCUAAUGGUAAUACAAAAGAAAUUAGAAUAGUACAACUUGUUAAAAAGGUGCAUCAUGUCAAAACCACUUCUCCGAAUGUAUAAUGUAAAUGAUUUUCUAAAAUUUGUUUGUUUCUCUAUUCAUAUAUAUAAACUAAAUGCCACAUUUGGAAGUUAAUGUUUUAAUAAUUUGUUCAAUUGAAUGCCGAGACUUAAACUUUACCCUUGUUGAUUUUUUCAGGAAGAUAUACCUCUAUCCCAAGGGAAGAGAGAGAAGGACCUGGCAGUCAUAUUUCUAUGUAUAACACAGGGGUGUUUGAAAUAUUUGGUCUUCAAGUUAUACCAAGUGCAGUUCAAGUUCUUACAUUAAUCAAGUGAGCAGAAUUUCUGUGCAGAAGGGGCAUCUUUGGGAAUUAAACUGUACUGCUUGAGAUUGAAUUAAUUUUCGAGCCAUACAUCAUUGGAAAGAUAUUUCUGUUAGCUUUCCAAUAAAUUUUACUAAUAUAAAUUUGGAGCUUUCUACAAUAAGUUAUGAUCAGUUAAGUGCGGGCUGUUCAGUUUUGAGUCAAGAAGAAUAUUUCUGGAAUGCUCUUUGCUGUGUUUUAAGCAUACCAAUGUUUUAUUAAUGUCUAGCUUUAAUGUUGGUCUUUGAAGUCAAGUCAUUUAAAGGGUUUCUUUGUAGUAUAUCUAUGCUUGGAGGAUUGUUCCAAGAAAGUUAUUUAAGCUUAUGUAGUUGUAACCAAAAGAUAGAGAUUAAUUUUGGGGAUUGGGUGAACUUUGAGUUAUUAUUAAACUAUGUAUCUCUUUGGUGGAUUCCAUUGAGUGGUGAGUAUUUUAAGCCCUGUAUCCUUAGCUUAACAACUUUAGGUGGUGAAUUUUUUUUCUGUAUCCUUUUGUUGUUUGCUGUGGUGAUGAGCUUGUGAUUUCUUGGGUGUGUGACGUUGUGUUUUCUCAUCUAUUGUGUCCGGUGUCAAAUUUGGUAUCAGAGCUUUGGGUUCUGAAAAUUUAUGGCCCAACGAUGUCGACGUAAUGCAAGAGUUGCAGAGCCUCCUGUUCGUGAGAGGGACUUGGGUGAUAGAGAAAGGGAUGAUCUUAGAAGGCAAGUAGAACAACUUCAGCAACGAUUACAACACCUUGAAGGAACUUGAGAAGCUGCUCCUAAUAGUAGUUCGGAAGAAAAAGGCUCAAUCAAUGACGGGGUAGAUUAUAAUCCCUUCCAUCAAGAACAAAGCUCCAAUAGUGAAUUUUCUUCUCGUUCUCGAAUUCAUAGGCAUCGCAAUUCUUUUCAGCCUUUCGACUUCAAGGUCGAAAUUCCUAAAUUUGAAGGAAGAAUGCAACCAGAAGAGUUUGUUGAUUGGCUUAAUAUUGUUGAACACAUUUUCGAAUACAAAGAUGUGCCUGAAGAUCGCAAAGUGAAACUUAUUGCCAUUAAACUUAAAAAGUAUGCUUCUUUAUGGUGGGAAAAUCUUAAGAGACAAAGGAAAUGAGAGGGACGGAGGAAAAUUGUUACUUGGGAGAAAAUGAAAAAAGAGCUUAAGAGAAAGUGUUUGCCCGAUAACUACAUGCAAGUUAUCUACCUUAAGUUCCACAACUUCAAGCAAAAGGAAUUGUCAGUGGAAGAUUAUACAGCAGAGUUCGACAACCUAAUGAUGAAGUGUGAUUUGGUAGAGGCAGAAGAGCAUACAAUCGCACGCUAUCUGGGUGGUUUAAAACCUGAGAUUGGUAAUGUGGUCCAGCUCCAAUCAUAUUGGACUUAUAGGGUGUGUUUGGUACACGUAUUGUAUUAUUCUGUAUUGCAUUAUUUUAAUGCUGGUGUAUUGUAUUAUGUUGUAUUGCAUUAGCACUGUAUUAUAAUAAUAUUGUACAAUGUUUGGUGCUACAAUAUACUGUAUUAAUUUUUAGUUAUACUAUGUUUGGUGUUGCACUGUACUAUAUUAAUUUCUUUUGGUGAUUAAUUUUAAUUAUAUAUUUAGAAAAUAAUAUCUACUAGUACUUAGAAAAAUACUAAAUAUAGAAGUGUUAAAUUUAAGAAUUUUUACAUCAAUUUUUUUGUUUAAAUAAAAGAAUCAUAAUUCUUUAUGUAAAACUAACAAAUUCUAAGAUUUACAAUGAUAUAAGAUUUAUUUUUUCAAUAAUUCGUAAAUAUAUAACCUAUGAAAUAAAGAUUGAAACAAAUAAUCCAAUCAAAUAGCAUUUAAAAACUAUCACAGCAUAAAUAAAAUAAACUAUCACAAGAUUCAUUCAAAGUUAAUACAUACUUCAAAAACAUCACAAAUUAGUAAAGUAACACAAUAGUUGUUUGCGUUCGAUAAUUUAAGUACACACAUCUACAAGCCAAACUCCUAAUGCAAAAUAUCAUUGUUUAGUUAGAAAUCCAUACUCUCUAAUCAAAUUCCACCUCUCCUCUCAUGCUCACGCAAAAGCAUCCUAACAUAAGCCAACUUACGAUCACGAUCAUUUCAUAAUACUUUGAAAGCCCUUAUAUGUGAGGGCUUCUCAGCCAUCAAAUUUAAGGCAAUAAGCUCGUCAUCCACAGAAAGUCCCAUCGAAGCAAGCUCUCUACCAAUGUACUCAUGAUCUUCACUACUUCCAAACAUAUUAUGAGACAUGUCAGCGUUGACUUGGUGAAACGCUGAAACCAAUUUGUCAAUACCACUAGCAAUUUGUUCAUCUAAUUUAGACCUCCUCCUGUUUGAUGAUUGUGAACGUGAUCGAGUAGUGUAUUGAGAAUUUGAAGGCAGUAUAGUUGACAUUGGAGAACCUUCAUCAUCAUGAAUUUCUUCUUGAAGUGCUGCAUUAGCCAUAUCAUUUGGAGUUUCUGUUGAACUUCUAGUUGCACGGUCUUUUCCAAAUAUGUUUGCUAGCCUCUCAUAAUAUGGAAAUGGCUUAUCUCUCCAAUUUCUUGCAUCUUUAUGGGACUACAAUAAUAAAAUAAGAUAAUGAAAUAAACUCUAUUAUAUUCAUAACAAACAAAUUAAGGACAAUGUUUGCAAAUGAUGACAUAAAAAGAAAUAAUUUUCUUUACUAACCUCCACAUAUGAUCUCCAUACUUCGUCACUGUCAACCACUACACAUUUUCUCACUUCAUUCCAGCCAAAACCGCUAGUGUUCAACAUAUCAAAUAUCACUCCAUAACUUUUCUUCCAUAUCCUUAUCUUAGAAUCAAUAUGUGGAUACGCCUUCAAACCGCUCCCUGGUAAUAGUUUUUCUAUUUCAUUUUCAAUAUAUUUGUAACUUCCAGAUUUAAAGGUGUCGUUAUCAGCUCGACCACUAUUUGCAACUACAGCAUCUAAAAUGUUCAACAUUGCCUCUUCUUGGUCUUUUGUCCAUACUCGUCUUGAUCCUGUCUUAUUUCCAAUAGUAUGGCUUGGUCCUCCACUCUCCAUUCCUACAAAAUAAAUAUUAUAACAAUUUUUUGAACAAGUAACUAAAAUAUAACACCAAGUCAAUUCACAUCAAUAAACCUCGAUAAAUUUCUAAUGACAUCAAAUAUAAAUACAAGGUUACAACCUUAGACAUUUUCCUAAUGACAUCUAUAUACUAACAAAAGUACAGCUUCCAAUGCUUUCCUAAUCACAUCUAUAUACUAACAAAAGAUGGUUUCCUAACGAUCUCUGUAUACUAACAAAAGUACAGCCUCAGAUAUUUUCCUAAUUACAUGUAUAUACUAACAAAAGUAAAUGCUCGGAUACUUUCCUAAUGACAUCUAUAUACUAACAAAAUUACAUGCUCAAAUGCUUUCUUAAUGACAUCUAUAAAUUAGAUAAGUCCUAAUUUCCAAGCCAAUUAUUAUACAUAGUAGUAGCUAGAUCAUCCCUCCAACUCGUCCACUGGUCUGAAGCUUCAAUGCUACUUAUACUAUCAUUAUCUUCUGCUUCAUUAUUAGGUAAGUCAACUAAUUCUUGCUCCAUUGGAUCCACAGACAUUUCUCUCCUAAUCAGAUUAUGCAAUAAACAACAUACAGUAAUAAUGCGACAUUGGGUUUUAAUUGGAUAAAAUAAAGGACUUCGAAGAAUAGCCCAUCGCAUUUUGAGCAAUCCAAAACACUGUUCAAUUACGUUUCUUGCUGAUGAAUGUUUCAUAUUAAAGAAUUCUUCUUUAUUGCGAGGAGCACACCCAUCUCUCCAUUCCGAUAAAUGAUAUCUCGUUCCCCUAUAUGGUGCAAGGAAUCCUUCAGCAUUUGUAUAUCCAGCAUCCACAAGAUAAUAAUAACAUAUUUAUUUCACAUAAGCAUUAAUAUAAUUUUGAUUUUGAAUAUGUAAUUUGAUUAAAUUAAUUUUUUGGAUUGAGUAAUACCUGCAGGAACUUUUAAACCAGUUGGUUUAUUUAAUGCAUCGCGAAGUACUCUUGAGUCAGAGGCAGAGCCUUCCCAUCCGGGCAUCACAAAGAUGAAUUUCAUAUCUCGUGAACAUACCCCUAAAACAUUUGUAGCAAUCUCACCCUUUCUUAUUCGAUAUCUUGGUUUAUCAUUUUCUAGCACAAGGACUCUAAUAUAAGUUUCAUCCAAUGCCCUCAAGCAAUUCUACAUGCACAAAACAAACGAAAAUUUAAUUAGCAUUAAAUUAUCAAUCGCUAUAAUAAAAUAUAAGUAAUUGAAAAUGUACCUUAAACCACUUCCACCUUUCAUCAGUGCAAUUCUCUGGUACGAGAUCUGGCACCCUUAGUAAAAUAUCGUGUAGUCGUAAUACUCCGUUGAACACUGAAUUGAAGUAUCUACUAACAGUCUCACCAGAUCUAAAAAACCUACUACCAAUUGUGCGAUUCUUAACACGAUGAGACAAAGUGUGUAGGAAUAUGCAAACUUGCUCUUCAACAGCCAAUGAACCACUAGCCUUUAGUCCCCUCGAUCGAAGUAGCUCACAUAGUAGGCCAAAUGUCCUUCUAUCCAUUCUUAGUUGAUUUACACAUUGAAUGUCACUAUUGCCUAUAAUGGUAUCUAAGUAUUGUAGUCUAGUAGCAUGGAAUUGGAAUGUACGACUACGAAUCAUUUUUCUUUCAUUAUGCCUUCAGAUCAACAUCAUUAACAAAAAAUACAUCAUAGUGAACAUGAACCUCAAUUUCAUUGGCCACAAGAUGAAAGAAAAUUUUCUUCUCAUGUCUAUAUCUAACACAACCAAUAAAAUGAGGGAAAACAAUCAGCUAGUAGACCAUUUGAUAAAUUUCCAUAAAGUUAGAUUAUAUUUCCAUAUAAAGGCUAUGUUUCAACACUUGAGCUAAAUAGAAUCACAAAGAAGAGAAUAGAGGCAGAUGAUGAUCAUAAAUAAUAAUAAUAAUAACAAAAUCAUGCCUAUCACACGAUAUAACAGAGGGUACAAGAAAUAUAUUGAAAUCCAAGGAAUUAUAUAUCAUAAGUCAUUUCUUGUUGAACAAAUAAUAAAUGGUAAGAAAUUGAACUCACUGGAAGCAAGCAGCAGUCGUUGGAAGGAAAUUCCAAUUUACGUAUUUUUUUUGCAACCUAAAUAAAAAUAACCCAUUGAAAUGAAUAAAAAAGAUGUCGAUUUUAAUGAAUAAUUAAAUCUGAAAAAAAAAAUCAUACAAGGUAUGCAACAUUUGCUAACUACAAUAGCUAUAAAUAUGUGUGUGUAUUUAGCAACUAAUAAGUCCUUAUAAAAUUCAUAUGAGUACUUAAACUCAAACUCUUUUACUCAUACACUAAUUUUUUUCCUUUUAAUUUAUGAAUGGACAACAAAACUUGAGAAACUUUUUUAUCCCCACAUAACAUGAAUUUGUCCAGGAAAAGAUUAUCCAUUGCACCAAUAAUACUCUACAGGUGGUCAUAUAUUAUAUAAAAGAAGAUAAUGUUCAACAAUAAUGGUAUUUUGAAUUUUUUGUUUGGUCUUUAAUCAUUUGGUCAUAAAGUUACUGUCUUUUUUAAUUUUAUCUUUUGACCAAAAAGUGUAGCACAAUCAUAAAUAACAAAUUGCAACUUUUCCAGAAACACCAACAGCAGCAUGAUAUUAUCGCUUUCUCUAGUUACAAUAAACAUAUUUAAGGAAGUUAAAGCAAAAGCACAUGCCAGGACAAAUUUACAUGUUAAUAUUAAACAAUGAACAAAAAAUAAGAAAGCAACUGGAAUUACACAAUUCCAAGACACCAGAUAAAAAAAAUUUCCCAAUAACAUAUCACAAAGAGAGUUGUGCAUUGCCAAAAUCAGAGAGUGAAAAUAAAUAAUCAAACCCAAAUAGAAUUCACCAGACAUUAUAUCACAAAUUUAGAGAUGCAGCAACGUUAACGGAGAAAGAACUCACAGAUUUAGAGAGACAGCAACGACGAAGAGAGCAGUAACAACAACACUAGAGAGAGCAACGAUGAAACAGAUAGAGCAGUAACGAGGGAGAGACAGCGGCAGCACAGAGAGAGAUCACCAAUAGCGAGGGACAGAGCAGCAACACUGGAGAGAGCAAUUAGCCCCUUAUUUUCCAUAAAAAUCAAUUGCCAUGAAUGUUUGAUUAUAACGGAAAAACAUGAUUAAAUUGAAAGCAAAUAAAAUAAAACCCUAAUCUAGAAAUUAAACCCAAAUGAAAUAUCAAACCUUAGGUAGUGAAGGACAGGGAGAAUAGUUGUAUUGCACAGUAGAGAUGGUGUUGCAGCGGAGGUGGUGUCAUGCAGUGGGGUGAAGUGGAGGUGGUAUCACGCAAUGGGUGGGUGUCGCACGAUGAGGUUACGUUGGAGUUGGUGUCGCACGACAAAGGCUGUUGAUGUUGUAGUGGAGCGUCGUGGAGUUGGCUCUUGUUAAGCCACUGCACAGGAGAAAUCACAGAUCGAACAAGGAGAGCUAUUUUGGUUUAUUUGAGGACAAGGUGAGAACGAGAAGGAAGUCUAAUUUUUUUGGUCUCAGAAAUAGUUGCAAAACCCGCAUAAACCCGACCCCCCUUGGGGUUUAGUUUAUGCAGGUUUGACUGCAUAAAAUUUUGAGUUGACCACAUUGUAAUACUAUGUGAUGUAAUUGCCAAACAUGGUAUUAUAAUACUCUAAUACAAUGAGUAGCUCUAAUACCAUAACCAAACAUGCCCAUAGUGAUGUAUGCAGACUUGCUCUUAAGGUGGAAAAGUAACAAAAAGAUGCUCGUGGUGGGGGUAUUUGGUUCAUAGUUCGUGAUGUCAAUCGAGGGAGUGGCUCCGUUUCUAAGCAUAAUUCUUGUUUGAAUUCUACUGCAAAGAAAAUUACGAGGAAUGAUAUCGGGGAAUGAUCUAAACAGCGAGCAAGUGGUUCGAAUGCUAGUUCUCGUCAAUGUUUUAAAUGCCAUGGUUAUGGGCACAUUGCUUCUGAGUGUCCUAAUCGUAGGGUGGCUGAUCUUGUUGAAGAGGAAAGCGAUGACGAGGAUGCAGAAGAUCAUGAGAAUCCUAGUGUCGAAAAGGAUGAUGAAGAUAGAUAAGUUACAUAUGCUGAUAAUGGAAUCUCUCUAGUUAUUUAAAAGAGUUUGAGUAUUGUUUGUGAAGAUGGGGAAGAUUGACUGAGAAAGAAUAUCUUUCACACUAAAUGCACUUGUCAUGGAAAGGUAUGUAAUGUCAUUAUUGAUAGUGGCAGUUUUGAGAAUGUGGUAGCAACUGAAAUGGUAAAGAAGUUGAAGCUCAAAACGGAGCAGCAUCCUCAACCUUAUAAACUUUCUUGGCUUAAAAAGGGAAAUGAGAUUGAGGUAAACACACGUUGCCUUAUUUCAUUUUCUAUUGGGAAUAAAUAUAAAGAUGAAAUUUGGUGCGAUGUUAUCCCUAUGGAUGCAUGUCACUUGCUUUUGGGUUAUCCUUAGCAGUACGAUAGAAAGGUUAUUCAUGAUGGUUAUAGGAAUACUUAUACUUUCACUAAAGAUGGAAGUAAAGUCAUUUUAGGUCCUUCAAAGAUAGAGAAAAGUUCUAAACCUAUCAAACGAGUGGAAAACAAUUUGCUGACUAUUUCAGAUUGUAAAAAAGAAUUGGAAAUGGGUAGUGAAGUUUACGUGCUGGUGGUGUUUGAGGAAAAUGAAGAUAACAAUUAGUCACCUUUGAUUAUGAAGUAUUUUCUUGAAGAAUUCUCAGAUGUUGUUCCAAAAGAAUUACCACAUGGCCUUCCUCCCAUGAGGGACAUUCAACAUUGCAUUGAUCUUAUUCCGGGUUCUGUACUCCCAAAUAAAGCGGCUUAUCGAAUGAAUCCAAAGGAGCACGAAGAAUUAUAGAGGCAAGUUGAAGAGCUUAUAAGGAAAUGGUUGGUGAGAGAAAGCAAAAGUCCUUGUGAUGUUCCUGCCUUAUCGGUACCAAAGAAAUAUGGGCCUUGGCGUAUGUGUGUUGAUAGCAGAGCAGUGAAUAAGAUAACGAUUGAUUAUCGUUUCCCUAUUCCACGCCUUGACGAUCUUCUAGACUAGCUCUAUGGUGCUACAAUCUUUUCUAAGAUCGAUCUUCGAAGUGGCUAUCAUCAAAUCAGAAUGAGACCUAGUGACAAAUGAAAAACGACCUUCAAAACGAGGGAUGGACUUUAUGAAUGGAUGGUUAUGUCAUUUGGUCUACUAAUGCCCCAAGCACUUUCAUGCGGCUGAUGAAUCACGUUUUUAACCGUCUAAUUAGUAGAUCUGUUGUUGUGUAUUUUGAUGACAUCCUUGUGUACAGCCAAGAUGAAAAACAACACUUGGAGCAUCUUUGCCAAGUCUUCGAGAUUUUGAAAAAUCAAAAGCUUUAUGUCAAUUUGAAAAAGUGCAGGUUCUUCACUGAUAGCCUUGUCUUUUUGGGUUAUGUUGUAUCGAAAAAUGGAAUUAAAAUGGAUCUAAGUAAGGUGGAGGCCAUUUUGAGCUGGCCAAUUCCUAAGUCGCUACAUGACAUCCGAAGUUUUCAUGAUCUUGCUUCUUUUUAUCGACGAUUUAUCAGAGGGUUCAGUACAAUUAUUGCUCCAGUAACUGAAUGCUUGAAAGGAGAAGGUUUCAAAUGGACCAAAAAGGCACAAGAGAGUUUUGAAAUCAUCAAGAGAAAGGUGUCUAAAACGCAUGUUCUUUCACUUCCAGAUUUCAGCAAGGUGUUUAAAGUUGAGUAUGAUGCCUCUAAUACUGGAAUUGGUGCUGUACUCAGCCAAGAAAGGAAACUAGUUGCUUUCUUUAGUGAAAAAUUGAAUGACUCCCGCAGAAAGUACUCAACUUAUAGCAAAGAAUUGUAUGCUAUUUGCCGAGCUUUGAACCAUUGGAGUCAAUAUUUGCUUUCAAGGCCAUUUAUUCUCUUCUCCGACCAUGAGGCACUAAAGUUUAUCAAUAGUCAGCAGAAGCUUAAUAGAAAACAUGCCGGAUGGGUGGAGUUUCUUCAAGCUUACAAUUUUACCAUCAAGCAUAAAUUGGGUGCUCAAAAUGUUGUGGCUGAUGCUUUAAGUCGAAAACAUUCCUUGCUUUCUUCUAUGCAAGUGAAGGUUGUAGGCUUUGAAAUUUUAAAAGAGCUAUACAAGGAUGAUUCGUUCUUUUGCAGGAUUUGGAGAGAAUGUGAGAAUGGAUCAUAUGAUCAGUACCAAUUGCAUGGUGGCUUUCUUUUCAAGGGGAAUCAUUUAUUUAUUCCUCAGUGUUCUUUACGAGAAUCUAUUAUCAUGGAGGCACAUGAUAGUGCUGUUAGAGAUCUCUUUAGAAGGGAUAAGACGUUAGCUUGCUUGCAAGGUAAUUUCUAUUGGCCAAAGAUGGAUAAAGAUGUAGUGCAUCAUGUGCAGAGGUGUAAAAUCUGUCAUAUUGCCAAAGCUCACAGUCAAAACACAGGCCUAUAUAAUCCUUUACCAAUCCUUAAAGCUCCUUGGGAAGAUGUUAGUCUAGACUUUGUUGUUGGGUUGCCAAGAACUCAAAGAAACAAAGACUCUGUCAUGGUGGUGGUUGAUCGAUUCUCAAAAAUUGCUCAUUUUGUUCCAUGUAACAAGACUUUGGAUGCCUUUCAUGUGGCUGAUUUGUACUUCAAGGAGAUUGUGAAGCUACAUGGAAUUUCGAAAACCAUUGUCUCUGAUCGGGAUUUAAAUUUUUUGAGUCACUUUUGGUGCACUCUUUGGAAGAAGUUGGGAACCACUCUUAAAUUUAGCUCUUCUCAUCAUCCUCAAACUGACGGUCAGACUAAAGUGACGAAUCGAAGCUUGCAAAUCUCUUGAGAAGUUAUGUGGGCAAGAACAUUCGUCAAUGGGAUCUUAUUUUGCCUCAGAUUGAAUUUGCUUACAAUCACUCCAUACAUCUGUUGUUGUGUAUUUUGAUGACAUCCUUGUGUACAGCCAAGAUGAAAAACAACACUUGGAGCAUCUUUGCCAAGUCUUCGAGAUUUUGAAAAAUCAAAAGCUUUAUGUCAAUUUGAAAAAGUGCAGGUUCUUCACUGAUAGCCUUGUCUUUUUGGGUUAUGUUGUAUCGAAAAAUGGAAUUAAAAUGGAUCUAAGUAAGGUGGAGGCCAUUUUGAGCUGGCCAAUUCCUAAGUCGCUACAUGACAUCCGAAGUUUUCAUGAUCUUGCUUCUUUUUAUCGACGAUUUAUCAGAGGGUUCAGUACAAUUAUUGCUCCAGUAACUGAAUGCUUGAAAGGAGAAGGUUUCAAAUGGACCAAAAAGGCACAAGAGAGUUUUGAAAUCAUCAAGAGAAAGGUGUCUAAAACGCAUGUUCUUUCACUUCCAGAUUUCAGCAAGGUGUUUAAAGUUGAGUAUGAUGCCUCUAAUACUGGAAUUGGUGCUGUACUCAGCCAAGAAAGGAAACUAGUUGCUUUCUUUAGUGAAAAAUUGAAUGACUCCCGCAGAAAGUACUCAACUUAUAGCAAAGAAUUGUAUGCUAUUUGCCGAGCUUUGAACCAUUGGAGUCAAUAUUUGCUUUCAAGGCCAUUUAUUCUCUUCUCCGACCAUGAGGCACUAAAGUUUAUCAAUAGUCAGCAGAAGCUUAAUAGAAAACAUGCCGGAUGGGUGGAGUUUCUUCAAGCUUACAAUUUUACCAUCAAGCAUAAAUUGGGUGCUCAAAAUGUUGUGGCUGAUGCUUUAAGUCGAAAACAUUCCUUGCUUUCUUCUAUGCAAGUGAAGGUUGUAGGCUUUGAAAUUUUAAAAGAGCUAUACAAGGAUGAUUCGUUCUUUUGCAGGAUUUGGAGAGAAUGUGAGAAUGGAUCAUAUGAUCAGUACCAAUUGCAUGGUGGCUUUCUUUUCAAGGGGAAUCAUUUAUUUAUUCCUCAGUGUUCUUUACGAGAAUCUAUUAUCAUGGAGGCACAUGACAGUGCUGUUAGAGAUCUCUUUAGAAGGGAUAAGACGUUAGCUUGCUUGCAAGGUAAUUUCUAUUGGCCAAAGAUGGAUAAAGAUGUAGUGCAUCAUGUGCAGAGGUGUAAAAUCUGUCAUAUUGCCAAAGCUCACAGUCAAAACACAGGCCUAUAUAAUCCUUUACCAAUCCUUAAAGCUCCUUGGGAAGAUGUUAGUCUAGACUUUGUUGUUGGGUUGCCAAGAACUCAAAGAAACAAAGACUCUGUCAUGGUGGUGGUUGAUCGAUUCUCAAAAAUUGCUCAUUUUGUUCCAUGUAACAAGACUUUGGAUGCCUUUCAUGUGGCUGAUUUGUACUUCAAGGAGAUUGUGAAGCUACAUGGAAUUUCGAAAACCAUUGUCUCUGAUCGGGAUUUAAAUUUUUUGAGUCACUUUUGGUGCACUCUUUGGAAGAAGUUGGGAACCACUCUUAAAUUUAGCUCUUCUCAUCAUCCUCAAACUGACGGUCAGACUAAAGUGACGAAUCGAAGCUUGCAAAUCUCUUGAGAAGUUAUGUGGGCAAGAACAUUCGUCAAUGGGAUCUUAUUUUGCCUCAGAUUGAAUUUGCUUACAAUCACUCCAUACAUCAAACUACUGGUUCUAGUCCCUUUGAAGUAGUUUACGGCAAGAAUCCAAUCAGUCCUUUGGAUUUGGCUCCACUUUUGACUAAUCAUCAAUUUAGUGGAGAGGCUAAAGAAUGCUCUAAAAGUAUCAAGAAGAUGCAUGAACAAGUUCGAGAUAGAAUAUUGAAGCAAAAUGAGAAGUAUAAAAAAUCUACAGACAAGCAUCGAAAACAUGCUAAGUUUCAGAAAGGAGAUUUGGUUUGGGUUCAUCUUAGUAAAGAUCGUUUUCCACCUGGGAAGUAUGCUAAUCUUAGACCAAGGGCUGCUGGACCAUUUAAAGCAUUGGUGAUAAUGCUUACAAGAUUGAGCUACCAGAUGGCUAUGGUGUUUCGUCAACAUUCAACAUAUCAGACUUGUCUCCUUAUCAUGAAGAAAAUGGUCAAAACUCGAGGUUGAAUUUUUUUCAAGUAGGAGAGAUUAACACAGGGGUGUUUGAAAUAUUUGGUAUUCAAGUUAUACCAAGUGCAGUUCAAGUUCUUAUAUUAAUCAAGUGAGCAGAAUUUCUAUGCAGAAGGGGCACUUUUGGGAAUUAAACUGUACUGCAUGAGAUUGAAUUAAUUUUCGAGCUUUACAUCAUUGGAAAGAUAUUUCUGUUAGCUUUCCAAUGAAUUUUACUAAUCUAAAUUUGGAGCUUUUUACAGUAAGUUAUGAUCAGUUAAGUGCGGACUGUUCAGUUUUGAGUCAAGAAGAAUAUUUCUAGACUUGGACUUUUUUAAUGCUCUUUGUUGUGUUUUAAGCAGCCCAAUGUUUUAUUAAUGUCUAGCUUUAAUGUUGGUCUUUGAAGUCAAGUCAUUUGAAGGGUUUCUUUGUAGUAUAUCUAUGCUUGGAGGAUUGUUCCAAGAAAGUUAUUUAAUCUUAUGUAGUUUUUUUUUUUUUUUUGAAUACUGAUUAAUCAUCAUAUUACUGCAUUACACAGAUAUUUACAACUGCUAUUAUAGCAGAUAUAUUACACUGAUAUUUACAAUCAGAAAUACAUGAUUGGGACUUAUAUUAUUACAUUGAAUUCUGUGAAGUACAUGCCCAGACAAAUAAUCCCUUACAAAAGAGGGAUGUCCAUACUCCACUCGUAUUGCACGAGGGAGAUGAAAUUUUUGAAAUAUUAAACAAAUAAGCACGUAAUCUUAUGUAGUUGUAACCAAAAGAUAGAGAUUAAUUUUGGGGAUUGGAUGAACUUUGAGUUAUUAUUAAACUUUGUAUCUCUUUGGUGGAUUCCAUUGAGCGGUGAGUAUUUUAAGCCCUGUAUCCUUAGCUUAACAACUUUAGAUGUGAAUUUUUUUCUGUAUCCUUUUGUUGUUUGCUGUGGUGGUGAGCUUGUGAUUUCUUGGGUGUGUGACGUUGUGUUUUCUCAUCUAUUGUGUCCGGUGUCAAUGUACCUGACAUUGGCUGACUUGUCAACUAGAACUUGUGGUUUUAAAAAUACCUUCAUUCACACAGCAAAUCCAGGAUCAAGUGCAGUCAAAGCAUAAUUAUAAAACUUUGCUAGUACAUGGUUCAGGAACUCAAUCGAAGAUUGGGGUUGGCACAAAUUUGUUGAACUUAGUUACUUGAACAAGGCAAGCAAUGGUUUUCUUGUGAACGAUAUGUGCAUUGCGAAAGCAGAGGUGUAUGUGCUUAGAAUUUCCAAAGCCCUGUAACAUAUACUCUAAUAAGCAUUGCUACUCUUGCAUGAAAAUUGGGAUGCCAAUUUUUUAAUUUUAUUUCUUAUAAUAAGAGUUAAUCUCAUCGUACCCAUAUAUUUUGACAAAGAAAUUCAGUUGCUGCCGCUCGAUAAUUAGUGAUUAAUUGGUUAUUAAGUCUCCACAUGGAGACUACAUAGGGAUGCCUUCUUAUAGGUUUAGCCUGCGAUAUCUUAUUCACUGUUGCUUUUUUUUCCUCCAUGUAUUCUGCGAGUCGCAAUAGGUAAGGUACUAUAUAUACUUUUUUUUUUAUCUUACAAGUGUGAAAUAAAAUGAACUUAACUUUCAGAUUAGAUCAAUAAGUAUUCACCAAAUACUUAAGUGCUGCUCAACCAUAGUACUAAAUCGGGCCUAAAUUUUGGAAGCUAAUUUUAUAAUAUUUGAUAAUAGAAAAUAGAACAACUAAAAUAUUGCUUUAGCUCGUUGAAAUACACGUUUUUUGAGUGGAGGGUACGUAUUUUUGUUCAUUUGUUUUGUAGUUGUUUUCUUGCCCCUUACCAUCCAUUCUUGCAACCAAGCAAAGAAAUCAAUAUUCCUUGACCAAACCAAACAAAUUAAAGAAUCAAGAUCCCUUUCCCUAAUUGCAUUCCCCUUCCCAUUCCAUUCUUGCAGCCAUCAGUUUCUAAAACGUGGCGAAUAUCAAUAGUUAUUCUGAUUCUUUCUGAAAAUUUAAUGUUGAAUUGUAUAAACCCUCAAACUUGGUGCUUUAUAUAUACCAUGGUCCCCUUAGAUAUUUUAAAGAACAAACAUUAAUCUUGAGAGAAUACCCUAACCCUUGAAAAAUCUUAUUAUAAUCAAUCUUUCUUCAGUACUAGUUUUAGUACCUAAAGAAUUGCAGUAGUUUGGAGGAAUUCGUUGCAAUGGAAAAUGACUUCUUAGAUCAAGUUGGUACGUUCUCUGGCUCCUUCCCCAGCUCCCCUUUUUCUAUGUAUGUUUAUAUAUGUGGAUCGAACAUUUCUUGCCUGUUAUUUUCUGAUCAGUGUUAAAAUUACUCUUGACAGCAAUGUCAAGAUCCAUUUCACACGUACCACCGGCUCAUUUCUUACUCAAAAUACAGGCGUUUUCAUCUCUUGUGGAGAAUGAUUUGGAAAAAUACGAAUCUUCGGAAUUUGAUGCUGGAGGCCACAAGUGGUAUGGCCUAAAACUUACUUGUACACUAUAUUCUGAUUACAUAUCAUAAUCUAAUGUGUUAUUUUGAAUUCAUGGUGGUUUCAGGAUACUUGUUGUUUACCCAAAUGGAAAUAAAAACAAAAAUGUGAAAGAUCACAUAUCACUCUACUUGGCUAUGGUAGAUACAAGUUCACUUGGCCUUGGUUGGGAAGUCUAUGUGCUUUUCCGCCUAUUUGUGCUUGAUCAGAAAAAAGACGAGUUCUUGAUUCUUCAAGGUGGAUUAUUACAGUCAACAAUGUUCAUGAUUGUUUUGUUCUUAAUUAUUUAAGUGAGACCUAAUCAAUGAUUUGGGCGGGGUCCCAUUCAUGUGGUAGAUGCCAUGGGGAAAGAAAGGCGCUUCCAUGGAUUGAAGCUUGAAUGGGGUUUUGAUAAAUCCAUCCCGCUUGAAGAAUUUAACGAUGCUUCGAAUGGAUAUCUUGUGGGAGAUACUUGUGUUUUUGGAGCAGAAGUAUUGGUUAAAGAAAGGAACAAAUGCAAAGGAGAGUGCCUUUCCAUGACGAAAUUGAUAUCUGCUUCAAUUCAUAAGCAUGUUUGGAAGAUUGAGAACUUUUCAAAGUUGGAGGCAAAGCGUUACGAGUCCCAAGUAUUCGUUGCUGGAGAUCAAAAGUGGUAUGAUAUCUAUAUAUAUAUAUAUAUAUAUAUUCUGAAAUGGUGCUCCGCGUCUAAACUUUAUGAGGUUUAGAUUUAGCCUGCGAUCAGACAGACAUCCUAGCCUGAGGAUGACUAAUUCUUUCUGUAUCAUAUAUUUCUUUCUAUAUCAUUUAAUUUCUUUACUCGUAUCACCUAAUUAAAUGCCUCAUCUGAUAAUUAACCCUUGUUGAUUUUUUCAGGAAGAUAGAGCUCCAUCCCAAGGGAAUCAAAAGUGGAACCGGCAGUCAUGUUUCUAUGUUCUUGGCAUUGGCUGAUUCCUCAACUAUAGCUCGUGGUUUUAAAAUAUACGUGCAUUUCACACUGCGAAUCCGGGAUCAAGUGCGGGGAAAGCAUGAAGAUGCAAAAAGUAAUUAAAUUAGUAAUUAUUAUCCCGAACUUAUUUAACAGAUGCAUGAAUUAAUAAGCUUAUAGCACUGUAACUACUAUGAGCUUAUUUAUAGCUAAAUACAUAUAACUUUGAGGCUUUCUAUUGUUGUUGUUUCAUGCAGCAAGUAUAUGGUUCGGGUCCUCAAUUAAAGAUUGGGGUUGGCCAAGAUUUGCUGAACUCAGUUACUUAAAGGAGGCAGGCAAUGGUUUUCUUGUGAAUGAUGUGUGUGUUGUGGAAGCAGAGGUUUCAGUGCUUGGAAUUUCCAAAGCACUGUAGUAAUAUAUAUAACUAAUGAGCAUUGUUACUUGCAAGAAAAUUGGGAUGCCAAUUUUUACUUUUAAUUUAUUAUAAUAAGAAUUAAUCUCAUUGUACCUAUAGAUAGUUUUCGUGAGGGAAAUUCAGCUGCGGACACUCUCACUAUGUUUUGGUUUUCAAGUCUCUACAUGGCGAUUAGAUGGGUUCAGCCUGUGAUCUCUAGUUAAAUGGUGAUAUAGUUGCCGUAUUUUGCUUUAUUUCUCUUCAGUAAAUCUUUUUUUAAAAAAAUAGAAAAAAAAAAUUUAGUUGUUGUUACAAGAUAUUUUUAUCCACCUCUUCAUCAAAAUAAUGUACUUUCACACUAAUAACUUUAGAAAGUGAAUUAUAAAAGCAGCUACAUGAUUUGUGACGUAUGUAUGUACCGCAUCUUGUGAAACAUAUUAAUUAUGAAUUGUACAUCACAAAAUACUUUUAGGAAUAAAAAAUGUGUUGCUAAAUGCACAACUAAUCGAUAUGCUUUAUUGGUUAUAAAUGCCCAUCAAUCAAAUAAAUCAAGAGAUUGAGAAAUGAAAUAGCGAAAACGUGAAAUUUUUCUCUGAUCAACUUACUUGUUAUUAUUUCUAAUCAUUUUAACUUCAUAUUAUUUAUAUUAUUUGUAUGCUUAAUACACUUCCCAAAUUUGAUCUACAAUAAAUUGUGAGCUUAUGAAAUUGCAACGCAUUCCAUUGUGUACUUUAUAAGAGUAUUACUAAACACAUUCAAGCUAUUCUCCCAUUGUACUCCUUAAUCCAGGUAGGUGUAAGAAGAGAUGAAAGAAGUGUAUUUAAAAGAUCUCUUUCACAAAACAGUGCCCAAUUUAAGGGUGGGCAAAAUCGCUUUCGUAUUCGAAUCAACUCGAUCAGAUUUCAGGUUGAUUGAGUUGAGCAAAAACUCAUCCGAAUUCAAUUCGAAUAUAUAAUCCGAUCCGAUCCUAUUAAAAUAUUAUUUAGAUCGGAUCAGUUUAUAAGUUCGGGUGUCAACUAAUAUAAGCAGCUGUAGUGCUAUAAGAAUCAUGAUCGCACGGAUGCCCACUACCUUUGAUCAAGAUUCAAGAACAAGAAAUGGAGUUAUCACCACCGCCAGAACCAAAAGGGUCAAAAAUUCAUAAUGUGCAAGUGGGGCAAAAAUAUUUCACGAGAUUCAUCAUUGCAAGAAUAUUCAGCAGAAUGAUCAAGAAUUUUUAUAUAUAUUUUCGUCAGUACUUAACUACAUGGGUAUAUAUAUAUAUAGACAUACAAUGAAAAUUGAAAAUUUUGGGCUGGAGCUUGGAGGACCUUGGUGAUGGUGGCUAUCGGUCGAGGUGGAGGGAGCAACCUGCAGCAACUGUCAAGGUGGAGCAAUCGGCACUACAACAGCAGCAGUCGAGCUGUAGCAGAUCGCAUCGGCGCGUCGUGGGCUCGCGAUGGACUGAAGCCGCGACAGAUCGAGUCGCUGCUGUGCUGGCUAUGCUGCCGUGCCAUCUCCGAUCUGUCGUGUGCAGUGUGCUGCUGCUAUUGUAGUGUUGUGUGUGUGAAGAUGAAGAGAUGCCGGCUACCGUUGGUGUAAUGUUGUGUGUUUGAAGAUGAAGACGAUGCAUAUGCAAUUAGUCAAAUUAGGUUUUGCCCUUUUUUAUUUACUUAUUUAACUUUUUUUUUUUUUAUUAACCAAUCCGAUCGGAUUUUUGGAUCGGAUCGGAUUUAACCCAAUCUGAUCACGAUCUGAUCGGAUUGAGUGAAUUCCAUCCGAUCGGAUUGAACAUCAAAUCCGAUCUGAUCCAAACUCCAUUUUUUUUUAAUUGGAUUGAGGCAGAUCAAGUUGGAUCCGAUCAGUUGCCCACCCCUAGUAUCUACUGUGGCCAUUAUUGAUGAACAAAAAAUGCAACCGUUGAGAUGAGGCCAAGAGAAAACUGAAAGAGAUGUACGGUUUUUUUCUAUAAUUAUUAUUAUUUUAAUUUUAAAUAUGCCGUAAAAAAAAUACUAUAAAAUACAUUCAUUCAAUAUAACAACACAACUUAAAUACCUAAAUACCUAUUUUUUUCCCUUUGUCUCUCUCUCAGUUUUUUUGUUAGUUUUUCUUUUUUUUUAAAAAAAUUACACACUUUUCUUAAUUUAAUUUUGUUCGUCAUAAUAUAUAGAUGAAUUACUUAAUUAUAGUUAGAUAAUCAUGGAAUAAUUAACAAAUUAUUUAAUCAUAAUCUGUAUAUAUUCGAUAAUAUUCGAGCAAUUAAAAGAAUUAAUUAAAUAAAAUCAAAUGUUGAUCGAGAGUGAAUAUGAGUCUCAUAAUUAUGUAACCAUUGAGGUCGAGACUAAUUGUCACCUUGAAAAAAGGUCGCGCAACCAUCUAUAAUUAUGGGUGUAGGCAGAGGCGGGCCUAUAGCCGUUCAAAUAUAAGGGCAUUUUAGACUUUUCUGGACAUAUUUGUCACGUUUAUGAAAUUUUAAUUAUGUUGAUGGCAUAUGCUGUGCGAAACUAAAUUCCUCAAAAUUUCGGUUUUAUAUACAUAUAGAAGCCCGCAGACUAAAUGGUUGAACACUCAAGGCCGAAGCGUGAUGGGUAACCAGGGUCGAAAUUUCUGGUGGCUUGAAUCAAAGAAUCCAUAGAUUUUACUUGGGAGAAAAGAAACAUCAAAAUAUUAAAAAAUAUACAAAAUAAAUAAACAUAAAAUAAAAAAAAAAGUGCAUAAAUACACUCACAGAGAGAGACUCAGAGGGAGAGAAUGGUGCUGUGGGAGAUCACAUUGGGAACAGCGUAUUUCUUGGGACUGAAGCGGACUUACAGGCUUGCUUUGAGGAUUCAGCGUCGCGUUAUCAGCCCCAAGCACCCUCGGAUUCGUCAAUUUGUUCACCGGUAUAUUUGUGUUGUUUUAUUAUUAUUAUUAUUAUUUAAUUAUUUUGUUUUGAGUCUGAUUCUGAUUAAUUUGUAGCUUGAUGGGUCAGGCAUCAAUAGGGUUAUUAGCGGAUGAGUCACAGAUUGGGAAUGGGCAUUUUGAAGUGUAUUUAUUGAUUAAGCUAGGUAGUUCAAGUUUUAAUUUUCAUUAAUGGGUUCUGUAGCUAUGCUCGUUAAGACAAUAAGAGCUGGUGAUUUUAGAGUCAAAAGAGGAUUAUGAUGAUAAUGAUGAUGGUGGUGGUGGUGGUGGUGUUGGUGGUGUUGAUGAUGAUACAUAUGAUACUGAUAUGGGUAUACUAACAACACGUUGCAAUGCAAUGUUCUUUGUUUCACGAUUUUAUGAUAUCUUUCGAAAUUGAUCUUGGUAAUUUGAUUUAACUGUAUGGUAGUGUGUGUGGUUUGGAAGUUGGUUAUUGAUGCUUGCUAAAGAUCUAAUGUAAGAAAGCAGAGGAGAGUAAUGGAGUUUUAUUGUGGUAGGAAUUGAUUCCUUGGAGUAAUAAUGUGGCUUACUACCAGCUUGGCUAGACAGAGAACGGCUUAUUAGCAAAGGCAACGGACAGAAGGAGCCAAAAUUUUAGGUUUUCUAAGAAUAGGGAGAGGGUGAAGUAAAUAAAAUUACAAAUUUGUAAAAGAUCCUGAAAACCUGAUUUCAAAAGUUUAUCCAGAUAUAUGUGUUGUUGUCUACUCAUAUCAUAUAUUGCAGUGAAAGUAAGCCAGGUUUACCUUAUAGAAACUAGUGUUGUGUGAACUUAACCAUGGAGUAACUAUAUAGGAAGCAACAGACAUGAGCUUUCCUUGUGGCAUCUUCUAUGUACUUAUAUAUUUCCUUAGGGAGUAAUCCUAUGCUGUCAAAAACCAUAAAAGCGUAUGCUCUUUUGGGAGGCAUUGCAUGGAUUUUGGUUUUCUUUUGGGGUCAAUGAUUCAUAGAAUUUCUUCUUGGUCUUCCCUUGUAUUCUCUCUUCUCACUACCUAUUUUACUGUUAUCUCUUCUAUUUCUCUUUCUUUAAAAGCUUUUCAGCUGAAAUUUCUACCUUCGUAUGCCUCUUCAAUCGGAUUUUGAUGGAUCUUGUGGAGUUGAUUUUGUCAAAUCUGAAUUCAAUAUGUUGCAGCAAUGCAUCCUACCGCAUGGGAUUAUCUUAGACUAUGUGUCCACAAUAACGACGGCUUGUCUUUGCCUACGUAUUAAUCAUCUCUUUGAAAAGUUACUUUCACGGUGGUUUAUAAAUUGUUAUUCAUUGUCUGAAUUUUCUGUGUGAGUGCCCCAUGCCGUUAGACCAUCUCUUAAAAUGGAAGUUUUCUUGCUAGAUGCAUCUAUUGUAUUCUGCUUGUUUACGUUUGAGUGUGCCCCAUCUUGGCUAUUCCAAUGAACUUAUUGCUUCCAAUCUAAUGAGCUCCAUUGAAGCUUAGUUAUACAGAGGUCAGCAUAAGUGUUUGAAUACGGCUAUAACAAAGUACCAAUCUAUAUUUUAGCUGUGUUAAUUAUAUAGGAAUAUGAAGGGAAAAACUUUAGUUUAGUACUUCAACUAGUUCAUUGUGCAUCCUGUCACUUCUACUUCAGCUUGGAUGUAAACUGAUGUGAAUGGUUCACAUUGACUUGAUAUCAUGUGCAAUAUGAGAGACCACUGAGCUCUUCCCUCAAAGCAAUUAUUCUUUCCUAUCUGACUUAGAAUGGCCCUGUGCAUUUCAUAAUAAAAUCAGCUUCUAAAUCUGUGAUCUUAUGACAUAUUGUAUAGGCUACGUUGCUGAAUUUUUUAUUUAACCAAUUAUGGAGCAAAGCCAAUCCUUAAAAGAUUAAGAGAAGUUACCAUCAACUCAGUUGAUCGUUGAAUAUCUGCAACUGCAACCUGCAUUCUCUCGCUCUAGAUUGGUGCAUAAUUUCUAUUGCGAAGUUUUGCAAACCUCCAACUAGUUUUGUCUAUGUGCCAAUUAUGGGAUUUGAAUUAACUUAUCUUUUAGAUUUGCUAUACCAAACUUUUAACGAAAUGUUUUUUGCUGUUUUGGCAUUAUGUUGAACAUUGAUGUCAAAAUAACAUGUUUGCCAGCUUCUUGUAGUACCUGUAGGUGAAGCAGUCAGAGAGUCUCAUAUGUAUUCCUGUGAACUUAUUGCCCAAUCAAGCUACAAUGCUCCGAUACCAGAACUAAAUUCAUUAUUAUGAGCACAUUCUUAAAUUGCUGUCUCUCUUUGGGUGAUAUGAAGAUUUUGGAGAAGCACAAGUACUAACGUCCAAAGCUGGAGGUCAUAGCUGUACUCUUGUUUAGUUCAGAGAGACUGUUUUGAAAUGAUACAUUGCUUUUCUUUUUAAUGAGCUGUUGUAUUUUGAUGUUUAUUAGGAGGACGUUAUUAACUUCAUGAAGGUAAGUUACCAGGGCACAUUUCUUUGUUCCAGAAUCCUUCCGAUCUAGUUGUAAUUAUUCAUGAAAGCCUCUGGAUAAAACGGAAAUCCUAAAUUAGUUAAUUGUUUCAAUACUUUGGACUUUGAAUUGAUUUAGUAUGCCUCAUGAAACCAAUAAUUGCACAUCCUCCACUCUUAGAGUCUCAGUGUGAUAUUGACCACGGUACUGCCUGAGCAUUGCAUUCUUCCCACUGGUUGGCUCAUUGGAUUCCAUUCUACUGUUUAACUACUGCUGUUAUGUCAGUUACUAGCUGGCAAAUACUGUUAUUUCUACAAUUGUUUUGAAUAAUAACAAAUUUAUUACUCCUCCAACUUGGAACUGCCAUUGUUUUUUGAAGACUGACCUUCAUUCUUCAUUGAUUUUUUCCACAGCCGAGUAUGUGCUGCCUUUGAUGUUGCUCUCAAGUUUCACAGGAACAUACAAGAGAGGGACAUAGAAGUUGGUAGAAAUGUUGGUAACUGGAUUCUACGUUGGCUUGACCAAAUGAAAGCAUCUGCCCAGAUACGUGGUCCGCCUGAGAAACUGUCACAUGGCUCCAGCAUGAGCAUGACCAACCAUGGAAUGAAGUCCUCGAAUCCAAAAACUCCUGGAGUCCAAACAUCUAAACCAACCUUUUCUACCAUUGCCAUGAUGAUGCGGCAUCCAAGGCCUGCAGGAACCACAACCCAGUAUAGGCAUCUUGAGACAAAUGGAUCUGAUCUGUUGAGUUUGAACUACAAUAGAAAUGGGUUUGAUGGAGUGCUGCGAAAGGACAUUAUGCAGUGGUUGCUGCAAAAGUGAAGGUAGAAGCUUAUCAGACACCUGUUCCUUUCUGGAGUUUUAAUCACCAAUAAUUCAGUUAUAAUAUCUCACUCAAACCGCUCGCAUUAUUGGACUCCUAAAUUUGAAAUUCAUCCAUGCUAGUUAUGGACAUGUUGCUUGAUGCACUAAUUACUGGAGGGCUGCGUGCUGCGAAAGCUGGCAAAGAUAGGUUUUAGUUGUUCUGCUUCUGUACUCAAAGAUAGUAAUUGUUCUCUCCGUUUUCAGUGACUAGGUUUUUUGUUUCCGAACCAGUAACUGCAUAGUUGCUUCUGGUAAUGUUUGUUUGUUUCUUUGUUUGUGAUGCACAUUCCCCCAGAUUGGAAACGGCUGUGGUGAUGGCGAUCAUCUUUCUCUGUACUUGGCUUUGGGAGAUUCCACAGUCGAGGUGAUUAAAGAAUAUAUAUGCAGAGCAUACAUUGCGAAUCAUAGAUCAAGUGGGGGCGAAACAUAA
rnacentral:lncRNA from 1 species